CCUCUGCAGGAGGAGGCUCCAGCUCUCCCCAGAGGCAGGAGCUGGGAUUCUGUCUCUUUAAAUUCUACAGGGCUGGUUGCUAAGUAACGGAGCUCUGCUGUUUCCUGGCUGCAUUGCAGUGGGGCCACACUCUGCCCUGGUGCCAGGGACACGGGUGGUGGCCAUUUCCCAGGCAGUGACCCGAGAGUGGAGGGGCCCCAUCAGUUCGGGCUGUGGCUCGGGCCUUGCGGCUCGGGCCCAGCUUCAGCUGAGGCUCCCGAACCAGAGCUGGGUGAGCCCAAGCCCAGCCCACCAGCCAGCCAGCCCUCCUGUCGGCGCCUGCCUCGAAAGCCAGGCUCGACCAAGACUCCAGAUCCUAACUGCAAAGGCAAAAAGCAUUCUGCUACUGAAGUUCAUGGGAAAUUACAGGACUCUCUAGAUCGUGGAACAGGGUCUACCUCUGCUACGCAGCUAGGUGGUCACAGAGCGGAAGCCAAGGGACUCGAAGGAAGACUGCUGGAAGUUGGUCCUUUUCUCAAAAUGCUGAAAUACUGAUGUCAACUUGGAAAAAAGUGGCUGAAACUGGCUUAUUGGAAUACCAGGUACUGAGAACAUAUGUUGAAUAGACUUGCUAUUCUCCCUCUGGAAAAUUCUUCUCAUGGAAGCUUUUAUGGUAUGGUGUUAAAUCUAUAUUUAUAUGUCUACGUCCAAAUCUACUACUUUGAAAAUGUGUUUGCCCUGAUAGCUUAGGGGUUCAUUUGGUUUGGGGGAGUGCUGUGUGUUUCUCUUAGUAGCUACAAAGUAAUGUGAGACUUGGGCAGUGAGAAAUCCUAUCAGAUUUCUAACUGUGAUAUGGAAGAGAGGAAGUGUUUGCUAAUAAUUUCAGAAAAAAAGAGUCUUCAUUAAAUUGUAAUGGUCUGGAGUGAAGGGGAAAUAAGGAAAGGAAUAGUUCACAGUAUCCAAAACUGAGUUAAAAUUCCACUGUCCCUUACCAUAAUGAAGCCCCAGGUAGAGGACUGUGUCCAGUUUUGGGUGCCAUGAUUUAGGAAGAACAUUGAUAAGCCAGAGAGUGAUCAAAUGAGGGUGAAACGAGAUGGUAAAGGACCUCGAAUUCAUAUCCUAUGAGCACUGGUUAAAGGAAUUUGGGAUAUUUGGUCUGGAGAAGAGAAAAAUGAGGGAAAUAUUAUAGCUGCAUUAGAGAAAGAAGGCAUUUAUAUUGUUCUGUUUGGCCCCACAAGGCAGAACUAGGAGUAAUGGUGGGGAAAUGAUUAAAAAAAGCAAAGUGAAUCUUGAUGGAAGAUACAACUUCUUAACAAUCUAAGUGAGAUGGGCUCACUUGGGAGGUAGUGGGUCGCCCCCUACUGGAAAUCUUCAAAGUCUGAAUGAACACUUGUUAGAUAUGUUGGAAAAGGUGUUCCUGGUCAGAUAGGAGCUGGAAUAGAUGAUCUCUGAGGUGUCCUCCUUCUUUGAGAGUCUAUGACUCAGAUUCUGUAAAUAACUAUGUAUUUGUAAAGAAAUUCCUGGAUGGUCUUUUGAAUAUGGAAAUUAGAAAACUGAGUUUUGAAUGUUGAAGAUUUUCUUUCUACACAAGAGAACAAGGGACAUCUAUCUGAACUCUGUUUUCAUAUGUGAGGAUGAUAAUUAUAUUACAGAUUAUUACGAGGUAAUUUGACCCUAAAUUCACUCAAAUGUUCUAACAACUUGCUGGGAAGAGUGACUAUGUAUGCUACGCCAUCUUUACACAAAUAAGAUACUAACAUAGAACAUUGAGUAACUCUGAAAAGUUAAUGCCAAUCAUCAGUGCUGGUGACAUCUGAAAUUUGAUGGAAAUAUGAAAUUGAAGUAGUUAGGCAGUGAUUAGAAGAAAGUGUUAGCGCUAAAAAAGUGGCACUAAUGGGAAAAGUAUUGACCAACUUUAGAACCAUUAGGAAUUUCGCGAUUUGUAUCUUGGAAAACUUCAUUCAAGAUAAUAUAUGAACUUUGGAAACUUAUAUGAGAUGAAUUAAGGGGUUUAAGUGCUUUCAUUCCACUUGUAAGGUUUAAUAGUCUUAAUUUAUUUGGUGCUCUUUCUACUCUAUGAUUGGUGUGUAUGUUAUUGUCUUAAUUUUUCCUGUUACUCAUUUGGCCUAUAUUUGUGGGUUUCAAUUAUAUUAUUAUGAUAAUGAUAUACUGUAUGUGAACAAGAGCAGGGAAGUUUUGAGAGACUGUAAAUUAAGCUAAAAGAAUGGAUCGACUUACUGAUACAUAUAGGUAGCUUCAAGAUAGUCGGGUAUUUGCUAGUAAUGAUAUAGAAAAGAUAAUUGUUUACUAACUACUACAUAACAAUUUAAAUAUAUAGUUUGAUCCUUAGAGAUUGUGUUCAGAGAAUAGAAAGAGACCCAGGGAACUGUGUAUUUACAUAGACUAGGGAAUGGGUCCAAAGAGUAGAGAGACAUCUGGGCAUCUGUACCAAAGUGGACAUGUAAGGAAUGUGGUCAAUGAGUAAACAGAGGUUGAAGGGUCUGAUCCAAAGAAGAAAGGUCCAGGAAUAUGUCCAAAGACUAGCAAGAAUAUCUGAGAGCAUUCACCAGUCAGGUCAUGGAAGAUAUGAAGAGAUGAGCUAGAUAAGCUUGUACCCCAAACUAAAAAGAUCAAAUAAUAGGCCUAAAGGCUAGACAGAGGGCCCAACAGUUCUCUCAAUGAUCAUAGGCAUUAAAAUAUGUACAAAAGCAGACAAGAAAGGGAUCCUUCCUGAAGGUGGCUGCUCAGAGAAUAGAUUCAAAGAAUAGAUAGUGAGUCAGAGAUCUCCCUUCAGGUGAACAAGUCAGAAAGUAUGUCUAUUGAGUAGAGAGAACAUCAAAGAGAACUAUCUCAAGUUGGAGAGGCUAGAGAAUUCAUCGAGAGAAUGGACAGAGGCCAGUGAUAUUGAUCAUAAAGGAUAGAUUACAGCACAUAGAGAAGAUAGAAACCCAGGUCCCUUUCUUAAAAUGGAUAGGUCAAGGAAAGUGUCCAUAUCAUGGAUCCAGAGCUUAUAUAAUGGUCUAAGAAUCUAUCCCAAAGGGGAGGGAUUAGAGGAUGCUUCCAAUGAAUACAAAGAGGGCCUGGAAUAUGGCCAAGAAAAUUUGUCUGGGGAAUAGGCAAAUAUCUAGGGAACAGUUGAAAAAUCAAAAGUUUGGGUGUUCAGUUUAGAGAGUAGAGAGAGUCAAAAAUUGAACAGGUCACAGAAUGGGCCUAAAGAAUAGCUAUAAGGGGCAGCUAGGUGACUUACUGGAUUGAGAGCCAGGUCUGGAGAUGGGAGGUCCUGAGUUCAUAUAUGGCCUCAGAUACUUCUUAGCUGUGUGACUCUGGGCAGGUCAUUUAACCCCAAUUGUCUAGCCCUUACCAGUCUUCUUCCCUGGAACCAAUAUUUAGUAUUGAUUCUAAGACAGAGGGUAAAGGUUUAAAAAAGGAUAGCCAGAGUUUCAGGCUGAUACCCCAAAGUUGCCAAGUCAGGCACGCUGUACCAAAAGUUUGUCAAAGGGUGGCCACUUAACAUGCUGGAAGCCUUCUUGAUCUUAUCCCAAUCUCAAAGUGGUGCCAAUGGAACUUUUUGGCUGUCCACCUGUCUGAAAUGGUCAAGGAGUGAAUCUAGAGAGUAGAUACAGGGCCAAGCAUUUAUUCUAAAGCGAAUAUGUCUAGAGAGUUGACAAAAGGCCAGCAACCUGUGCCAAGGGGCUAUAUAAUAAAAUAUCCAGAGAGUAAAUGGAAGAUUUGGGAUUUGUCUCUGGUUGAACAGGUAAACAGCAGCAUCCAAAAAAUAUCAAGAUGUCUAUAUAUUGAUCCUGAAAAGGGAUGAAAAGGAUGAAAGAGAGGAAGGGAGAGAAAGUGAGAGAGAGAAAUAAGAGAAUGAGAGAGAGAAAGAAGACAGGAGAGGAGAGAAAGAGGGAGGGAGAGAGAGACAGAGACCUAUGAGGUUAGGCCAGAGAAUGGAUCCAAAGAGUAGGAAAUUUGUCCAGAGGAACAGACAGAAAGCCAAUAAUCUGGCCAGUAGAUAGGAUCAUAGAUUUAGAAGAGGAAGAAAUAUCAGAGGCAAUCUAGUUUAGUCCCCUCAUUUUACAAGGUGGACACUGAAGCUCAGGGAGAUGAAAUGAUUUGCUCAUGCUCACAGAGGUACCAAGACUCAGAGUUAGAAUCUGAAUUUAGGUCUUCUAAAUACAAACUCAUCUUUCUUUCCACCCCACUGUACUGCUUCUUAGUGACAUUUGGAGGGUAAGUAAAUCAACCACAUCUCACCACUCUCUAACCAGUAUGGGCACUCUGAACCAGUCAGCCUCCAGCCCCUGCCUCAGGGAUGAGCCAGGACCAGGGACUUGCCAUGGGCCCUGCUACCAUCCCAAGCCCUGUGACAGCAGGCCAUUGGACCAGGAUGGAUAAUCUUCAGAUUGAUUUCUUGCCUGGCCGCUCAGGUAGAGAUAAUGAAAUCCACAUGGGAGCUGAUCUUGAAAGUAGAACUGUCCUGACAAUGUUUGGAAGGAAUCAUGGGCUUCAUUCACGUACCACAGUAUGUUGAGUCACUUCCUAGUCGACGUGCCUCUUCUCUGCUUCUGGACACCAGACCUUUGGAAUAAAACUGGAUUCCAGAGUCCAUGUCCCAUAAACAUCUACAUGGAAAUCAUUUAUUCCCAAAUGGAAGUGGCCAUAAGGCACUGCCAUCCUGGCUGAAGGUGGGAAGGGGAUUUCAGCAAGGAAGCCUCACCUCUCUAGAAUCAUCUAAGCUUUGAUGUAGGUGCUUUCUAGCACACUCAUUUUAUGAACAGUAUAUGACUGAGAACUUGUCAUUUUCCCUUAUGCUAACCAUGCUUCUUUCUACCAGAAUGUCAAAAAUAUUGAAAAUAUCUUCUAUUUAACCUCACUUUCAUUUCAAAAAAUAUCUGUUCCUAUUCCAUAACAAGAUAGUAAGUGCUUGAAUUAAGGAAAUAACAAAACUCAACCACACAUAUACUGGGUCUGAGUUCACCUUCCCAAGUUCUGCUGCUCUAGGACCAAAAGAACAGGUGCAUUUUCACAAUUCUCUUCUGGGAUCAAUACCCUUAGCCAUCAUAAUUGCAGUGCAUGCACUUUCAAUUUAUGGUAUUUCCACUCUGGCUUACACUCCUGACCUUCCAGAUUCUCUCUGUCAUGCCAAAGCAACCUUAUCACCCUAGAAGUUCACUCCACCUCAGAGCUCUUCACAUCAGAAGGAAAUUCCACUGCAGAGGUCUUUCUCUGAUUGACUGGUUCCUGCCAGAACCUCCAUUUUGAAGAAAGUGGCCAGGCCAGUCAGGUCUUCAUUACUCCCUAGGCUCCAUUCCUGACUCCCUAGACUUUCUACCAUGCCACAACAAACUCAUCAACCUGGAAGUUCAGUCUGUCCUGACCUUGAACUGAAAAUAGAUCCCACUACUGGGCUCUUCCUCUGAUUGGUUGGUUCCUGCUGGAACCUCUAUUUUGAAGAAAGUGGCCAAGGCAGCCAUGUUUUCAUUCAUCUCUCGGCUUUGCUCCUGACUCGAGACUUUCCACCAUGUCAUAAACAUCUUGUCAACCUCGAAGUUCAGUCUGUCCUGACCUUGAACUGCAAGUAGAUUUUAUCCCAUUGCCAGGCUCUUCCUCCAAUUGGUUGGUUUUUUGCCAGAACCUCCACUUUGAAGAAAAUAUCUAGUCUAUUCUCUUCGUUCCUCUCUAAACUUUGCUCCUGACACUAGAUUUUCCACCAUGCCAUACAAGCCUUGUCAACCUGGAAGUUCAGUCUUUCCUGACCUUGAACUAGAAGAAGAUUUGAUCUCAUUGCCGGGCUCUACCUGUAAUUGGUUGGUUUCUGCUAGAACCACCAUUUUGAAGAAAAUGACCAGACCAGGCAUGUCUUCACUCAUCUCUCAGCUUUGCUCCUGACACUAGAUUUUCCACCAUGCCAUGGAAGUCUUAUCAACUUGGAAGUUCAAUCUAUCCUGACCUUAAAUUGGAAGCAGAUUUUAUUCCACUGCUGGGAUCCUCCUCUGAUUGGUUGGUUUCUGCUAGAACUGCCAUUUUGAAGAAAGUAUCCAGACCAGCCAUGUCUUCAUUCAUCUCUCUAAACUUUGCUCCUGACACUAGAUUUUCCACCAUGUCAUAGAAGCCUUAUCAACCUGGAAGUGCAGUCUGUCCUGAUCUUAAACUGGAAGCAGAUUUGAUCCCAUUGCUGGGCUCUUCCUUUGAUUGGUUGGUUUCUGCUAGAACCACCAUUUUGAAGAAAAUGACCAGACUAGCCAUGUCUUCCCUCAUCUCUCAGCUUUGUUCCUGACUCUAGAUUUUCUAACAUGUCAUGGAAGCCCUGUCAACCUGGAAGUUCAGUCUGUCCUGAUCUUGAACUGGAAGUAGAUUCAAUCCCACCGUUUGGCUGCUGCUCUGAUUGGUUGGUUUCUGCUAGAACUGCCAUUUUGAAGAAAGUAUCCAGACCAGCCAUGUCUUCAUUCAUCUCUCAGCUUUGUUCCUGACACUAGAUUUUCCAGCAUGCCAUACAAGCCUUGUCAACCUGGAAGUUCAGUCUGUCCUGAUCUUGAACUGGAAGCAGAUUCGAUCCCAUUGCUGGGCUCUUCCUCUGAUUGGUUGGUUUCUGCUAGAACAGCCCUUUUGAAGAAAGUUUCCAGGCCAGUCAUGUCUUCAUUCAUCUCUCAGAUUUGCUCCUGAAUCUCUAAACUUUCUGCCAUGCUACAGAAGUUUCAUCAACCUGGAAGUUCAGCCAGUCCCUGCCUUGAACUGAAAAUUGAUCCCACUGCUGGGCUCGUCCUUUGAUUGAUUGAUUCCCACCAGAAAAUCCAUUUUGAAGGAAGUGAACAGGCCAGCCAUGUCUUUAUUCCUCUUUGGGCUCUGCUUCUGAUUCUCUAGACUUUCCACCAUGCUGCAGUAGCUUCAUAGACCUGGAAGUUCAGUAUGUCCUGACCUUGAACUGGAAGUAGAUCUGACCCCAGUGCUGGGCUCUUUCUCUGAUUCAUUGGUUGGUUCCUGACAUAAUCACAUCUUGAAGAAAUGUCUUCAUUUCUCCUUGGGCUCUACUUCUCCCUCUCUGAACUUUUCUCACCAUGGCACAACCUGAGAAUUUACUCUACCCCUAAUUCUGUCACGCUGGAAAUAUACUUCACUCGCAGAGACCUUUCCUCUGAUUGAUUUCUUUCUUCCAGAACCACCAUUUUAAGGACAGCGCUCAGAUCAGCAAUGUCUUCAUUCCUCUCUGAGCUCCCCUCCUGACUCUCUAGACUUUCUACAGCAUGCUAGAAGAACUUCUUCACUCUGGAAGUUCAGUCUGCACUGGCCUCUCACUGGACAUAUACUCUUCCCUUUGGACCCUUCCUCUAUUUGGUCAGUUCCUACAAGAACCUUCAUUUUAAGAAAUGGCAGGCCAAGAACAGCCAUGUCUUCAUUCUUCUCUGGGGCCCACUCCUGACCUUAUAGACUUUCUUCACCAUGCCACAUCGGCCUUCUCACUCUGGGAUUUCACUUUGUCCUACAGCCUCAUCACCCUGGAAGUUCACUCCUCACCUGAUCUCACACUGGAAGUACCCUUUCUCUGAUUGGUUGGCUCCUCUUGGAAUCUCUACUCUCUAGGUUUCACUCCUGACUCUUCAGACUUUCUUCACUAUGCCAUAGCAGAGGUUCACGUUUCCACUAGCUUCUCACCCUAGGAAUAUACUCCACUCUUGGAGGCCCUUUCUUUGAUGGGUCAAUUCCUGUCACAACCUUCAUUUUAAGUAAAUAUCAGCUAUGACUUCAUUCUUUUUUUGAGUUCUAAUCCUAAGUCUUGAGAUUUUUUCUGCCAUGCUACAGCAACCUUCUUGUCCUGGAGGUUCAUUCUGCCCCUAUAUCUAUCUCACCCUGGAAAUUCACUCCAUCCACUAGACCUAGCCUAACUCUCACUCAAUAGAUUUCUAAUACCCUCAUUUGGCCACCUAUAUAGGACCAAUGACUUGCCAUUUUCCCUAAUACUGACCCUGCUUUAAACAUAAUAUCAAAAGCAUUUCCACUGUUUUUUUCCUUUAAUAUGACUAUAAUUUCCAACUGUAUCCCUCCCUAUCCUUUAUAUAGAUAGACCGUAUGUCAUUGAAUGAAACAAAAGCAGAAAAGAUAUUUCAGAAAAGUGAUCCAACUAUAAUCUUUUUCUGAUUGUUUAGGCAAUAUUUCACAACAGAAGUCUUGGUAAUUUGUACUAUCCUCCAGGACCAAGAUGAUUGGUUAUCAAAAUUACAAUGUAUGCAUUUUUACUUUGUUAUGCUUUCUCUCAAUAUUUUUCAAGUUCUAGCAUAUAUUAUUAUCCUUUCUUGAAGUCCAUCCCUCUGCAUUAGUUCAUAUCAGUCUUCCCAUGCCUCCCUCUGUGUCCUUCCUACUUCUGCUUUUAUACAUUGCAGGAAUGAUGAGCUUCAUUCCCCCAAAAAUAGCAUGUUGAAAUUUUCCCCAAUCAAUAUGCCUCUGUGCUAUGUCUAAGCAUCACUCCCCUGGACUAAAACUAGACACCCUCCAGACACAAUGUGACUCCAUUUUCUAUGAAGAGAUAAGGAAUUUUCCCACUGAAAAUUGACCAGAGGCAGAGCUGCCAUGGCUGGAGCUGGGAAGGGAAACUGAAAAGAAAGCUUCAUAUCCUAAAUUAGACAACCUUUAAUCUGGUUGUUUUCAAGCACUCACAUAAGGCCAGGAGCAUAUGACAGAUGGCCUGUCAUUUUCCCUACUGUGGCCCUGCUAAAUGAUAUCAUAAUAUCAAAACAUUUCUAAUAUUUUUUCUUUUGAGAUUACCUUAAUUUCCAAAUAUAUCCCUUCUGCUCUUGUCCAAAGAUAGCCACAAUUUAUAUCAAAGAUUGAAAUAAGAAAAGCAGGAGGAGCAUUCUGAAAUAAAACUAACCUAUACAUGAGAAGAGUCUCAGAAUUUUGGCUCUAUUCCAUUCCAAAAGCCUUGGACCUCUGUAACUAAACAACGCAAGUGUAUUCAAAUUCUGACCCAGCCAGGUUCUAGCACCCAAAGUUGACCAACAGCGUAAAGCCAAGGAUGUGUCAUUUUCCAUAAUGAUGACCAUGCAUCUUUAUAAGAUAAUCUUGACAUGCUUCUAAUUUCUGUUGUUUUGAUAUAAUUUUCAUUACCAAAUAGACCUCUCCUGAUCCCCUCACUAGAUGGAGAGCUAGAACUUGUAUCAAAGAAGGAAAAAAGUGAUUCAUAAAAAGCACACAAAUCAUUUUCCAAAAACUAUGAGUGACAGUUUAGGCCAGAGGUGUCAGAUGGGCAGUCUUUCGGCCGUUUGUGGCCCACAACACUCCUAAAUGUAGUUCAAACUAUCUCAAAAUGUAAUUGGGAUAUAGUUAACAAAAUAAAUAAAAAUACAAUAAAAUAGGUAAUAUUACAUUUUAAAAGUAGGUCAAUAUAUCAUCUUCAGGGAUGCUUAUGAAUAGUUUAGUGGUCCCCAUUUCCAUUUGAGUUUGACAUCAAUGGUUAGAUAUGUUCCACACCUAAUAUUGUCGAGCUCUAUAGACAACCCAAAGCAGGGACAUUUUAUACAUUAAUUAUACUGCUUUGUUUUGCCAAAAUUCCAAAAAUAUGUUUAAUGUCCUUUUACAUCACUCAGUUCUAUACAUUUCCUUUUCCAAUCCACAUGCACAAAGCCAUGCAUUAUGUCAAGGAAUGAAAAAAUGCAGACAGAAAAGCAAUUCAUCACAACUUGAUCACAAAUAAGCUCUGUUUGAACAUUUAGGAAAUAUUCUACAGCAAACCAAAGAUGGAUCCUUCUUUCUGCUUUCAUCUUGAAAUAAGAAUUUUGAUCAUUAUUUUUUUAUUCCAUUUAGUUUUACUUUUAAGUGCUUCCCUUUGAUUUUUGAAGUCAUUAAAUACACAGUUUGCCUUUCUUGUUGAUUAUUUCUCUGUCCUAAUUAAUUUCAAUCCAUUUCCCCCAAUAAUCCUUCCUUACAUUGCAGGAGUUAUGUGUUGCUUUGUGUAUCACAGUAUGUUAAAUUCCCCCCAACCAAUAUGCCUUCUCCUUGCUCUUUGACAGUUGUCCCCUGGAUGAAACUAUCAUGUGUAGUGAAUAUAGGUCUUAUGUGGAGAUAAAGGCAGGUCCUAAAUAGAAGUAGGAAGAGGAAUUCAGGCAAAAAAUAACCCUUCUCAAACAUUUUCUACAUUUGGAACAAGCUCUAUUCUAGCAAACACAGUUGGCCAAUAACAACAACAGGGACAGGUGGUUUGUUCAGGAUUUGGCUUAGGGAUGGCCUUUUCUUAACUUUCAUUUUGUUUCCCAUUUCUAAUAUAUUUUAUGUUAAUUGUACCAACAUGUGCAAAUAACUCCAUUCAUCUUUCCCUAGCCAGAGAUUCAGAUGUGGUAUCCAAGAAUGAGAAAGGAAUUACAUUGUUAACCCAUUAAUCUGGUGUAUGUAAGCCAAUUUAAAUUUUCAUUCAUAUUUCACGCACAGUUUCCCAGAACUCAAAAGAUAAUGAAAGGUGGUCCACCAAUGACCCAGUUUUGUUAGACUAGAAAGUCAAUCAAUCAUACUACCAACAUCCAUUGAUUUGAAAGCACAUUCAAUUAGAAACAUAUCUUCUAAAAUCUUGUAAUUUGAGAUGAAAAUUUUUGAUCCAAGUGAAACUAGAAAUGCAAAAAUAGAAAAAAAGCCUUAAACCAAACUCUACCUCCCCAUAGUUUUCUGAGUAUUUUGGCAUUAUUCAGUAAAAAAAAUUCUCCACCAUUGGAUACCCUACCAAAGAAGUUGAAUUCUACUAACUACUAUAAUCCAGAAUAAAAUUCUUGAUUAUUAUUAUUCAGAUUAAAUUAAUUAAAAUUUUUGAUUAUUGCUCUAAAUAAAAUAAUCUUAUGGUAUUUAUUUUCAACUCUCCAUUCUUUUUCACCAAUUAUAAAUUAACCACAUACAGUAUUUUACUUUUUUCAAUAUUUUACUCUUUUACUUAAAAUUGCUGUAUAUCAUUUUUUUAAGUAUUAUAAUUCUUUUCUUUAUCCUUCUCACCGAGCUUUCUGAUAUUUCAUUGGCUAUGAGUUGCACUGAUGUACCACAUUAUCAGGAAUCUCUCUCAAAUCUAAGAACUUUCAAAACUGUUCCCAAAAUGGUUUCAAGAAAUCAACAACUUGAUUUCAGUCAUCCAAUAUCUCUAAUCAUCCUUAGAAGUCUAUUCUUUUAUGUAGGAGAAGUAAUGCAUUUAAUAACUUGACCAGUGGAUGCUGAAGCACCAUUAAAAAGAAAAUCAUUUUAUCUACUUCUUCUGCAACGAAUUCAUGCAUAAUAUCAGACAAACUAAAAGUCUCAGUGACCCAGCCCAUACAUGGUGGUCAAAGAUUCCAUAGCAUGUAUAGCUGUGAGUCCAGGUAGCUGACUAGGAAUUGGAGAGUAAUUCAUGCAAAGAGCCUCAGUUUUCAAAAAUUCCUUCCCUUCUGAAAAGUCUGUAUUCUAGAACACAGAAUAACUGCAAUAGACAAGUGAUUUUGCUUAGGGAUGACCCUACCCUUUCUUAACUUUAUUUGCUCCCUAAUUCUAAUGUAUUUUAUGUGAAUUUUGCCGUCAUUUGUAUAUCUCUUCAUCUUUGCCUAUCCAGAGGGCUGAAUAAGGUGUCCAAGAAUGAAAAACAAAUCAUGAAAUAUUAUUCCAGAAAAUCAGAUACAUAUAAUACGAGACUGAUAUUUUCAUUCUUACUGAAUAUACAAUGUUUGGGGGCUGAAGAGACAAUGAAAGAAGGGGGUAUUUUAUCCAAUAAUGAACCUCUUUCAUUUUAGAGAAUGGCAACUAAACUAUCAAAAUCCAGUCAUUGAAAACAUAUUCAAUUAGAAACACAUCUUUUGCCAUCUUGUAAUCUAUGACCAGAAUUUUGGAUUAAAAUGAAAUUAAAAUGCCUACCUCCUCUCCCCCAAAAUCAUUCAGACAAUCUCACCCUCAGCAUAACUUUAGAUGAGCUUUUUGCAGUUAUUCAUCAGCUAAUAUCCAGAAUUCUAUAAAUUAGCAAAGUAUUAACAUUCAUUUAUUGCAUAUGAUCCUUGUGUAGCAUGUUUAUGGCAAUAAAUUCUAGCAUGGUUUUAUUGUUUAAAUGACAUAUUAAUUUUAUAAAAAGUUUUUUUUUCCUUUAAGAACAUUUGCAUCCAUUUUUUUCAGCCUGUUUAUUCCUCUCCAUCACACUUACUAAACUGAUAUUUCUUUGGUUACUAGUUAUAUUUCCAUGUCAAACUAUCAAGAGUGAUCCUCAAAUCCAAGUGUUUCCAACACUACUUUUCCAAAAUGGGUUCAAGAAAUCUAUAAGCUGAUUUUAGUCUUUUCAGGCCCAUCUCUAUCCUUCCAAAGCAUAUUCUCUUAUAAUAGAGAAGUAUAAUAACAUACCAUAAAAUACUAAGUGACUCUCAAGUCCUCAAUCUGAUUUCCCUGCUCUGUUGCUACUCUGGAUUCAUAGAAAAUCUUUGGCACAAUACAAUGUGUCAGUUAAUACAGGCAAUAUAGAGAAAUAAAUGACACCUCGCUACCCAGAGCUGUGAGGCCAGGAAGUUUUGGAUGGAAUUAGGAUGAGGAAUUCAGGGAAAAACUUUCAGUUCUCCCAAACUACCCACAUUUAGAACAAAUUCAUUCUACCAAACACAAUUGGGUAAUAAUUUCACACUGGGAUCAUUUCAUUUAGACUAGAAUUUACCCAGUCUUGCCUUCCUAUUUCGUGCACAUUUUCCAUUAAUUGUAAUUUGGUAUUCCUUUGCAAAUAUCUCUAUUUAUCUUUCCUUACUCAGAGGGUCAGAUAUGGUAUCUAAGAAUGAAAAAUAUAUUAUGGAAUAUUGUUAUGAAAAGUCAGCCAUAUAUAAUCUGUAACUGACAUUUUUACUCUUACUACAUAUGCAAAGUUCCAGAGCUGAAUAAACAAUGAAAGGUAGGGCACUUUAUCCACUAAUACAAUUCUUUUAUUCUUAGCGAAUGCCCACUUAGCUAUCAAUAUACAAUAAUUCAAAAACAUAUUUAAUUCCAAAUAUCUCCUUUGAUAUCUUGUACUCGGAGACCAAAAUUUCAGAUAAAAAGUCAAAUGUAAAUGCUUUCUCACAAAGCCUUUGGACCAUCUUAACCUCAAGAAAAAUCUAGUUGAGGCUUUUGGCACUAUUCAACAAAAAACAUCCUAGAAAUCUAUAAACUAACAAAGCAGAUAGGUGAAUUUGGCCUAUGUACUCAUGCCUGAGAUUACGUUCUUUUAUGGCAAGGGAUUUGACCUGUCCAUUUUAUAGUUCAUCAGUUAUGUGUUAAUUUAAUAAUGUUUUCCUCUUUUUGUAAACAUUCCUUUAUAUUAAUUUAUUUCAGUCUAUGAUUUCCUCUGUCAUUCCCAAUAUGCACGCUAAUAUUCAUUCAUUAUUGGUUACAAAUUCAUACAACAGAACACAUGUGAUACCCAGUGGAAUUGCGCGUGGGCUAUGGGAGAGGUGGUGGGACGGAGGGAAGGGAAGAAAAGAAAAUGAUCUUUGUUUCCAAUGAAUAAUGUUUGGAAAUGACCAAAUAAAAAUUAAAAAAAAAGUGGAGCAAAAAAAAUCAUACAACACUAUCAGGAGAAAACUUGAAAUGCAAGUGCUUUCAACAUACACAUACUUUUUACAAAACAAAGUAAAGAAAACCAUAAUUUGAUUUUAAUCUUCAAAGGCCUCUUUCCAUCUUUGAAAGGAUUCUCUCCAAUACUAGAAAAAAGAUGAGUUUAAUAUCCUACUUUAGAAGGAUGAAGCACUCUCAAAUCCAAGAGCUUCCUGACUCUUUUGCCACCCUGGGCUCAGACAAAAGUUUAUGUAUACUAUCAUGAUCCUGGGUGCAUAAGCCAUACAUGGAGGUAAAAGGUUAUCCAUUACAUUGAACCGAGAGACCCCGCAGCAAUUCAUGUAAAGAAUUUCAGUUCGCCAUUACUACCUACAUUGGAAACACUUUCUAGCAAAAACCCAACUGGCCAAUAGCUGGACUUGGAGGACAUUUCAUUUUGCCUAGAGCUGACCCAUUCCUUAUUUCCUUUUUCCUCUACAUUUUUCACCUAUUCAUUCAAUUUUUGCCUAUCCAAAGACCCAGGCACAAUAUUUGAAACUGGAAAAGCACUUUAUUAAAUGCUGAUAAAGAAUGCUGGGAUGCUUCCAGUUCCACUCACAUUCCAUAGGCAAUGUUGUAGAGCUGAAUAGUUAACAAGAAAUAUGUGAUUUUUCCACUAAUAUCUGGAAUAUGAAUAUAUAUUCAUUUGAAAGCAAAUUUAAUUCCAAGCAUAUCCCUUAUCAUCUUGAAAUCUGGAACCAAAAUGUCAAAUCACAAUGAAACAUCAUAGGCAAUAAAUAACUAAAUAAAUUAAGAAAUUAAAUAAGCCAAUAACCUAUCUUACCUUCACUACAGUUUUGGUUGAUGGUUUGAUCAGGACCCAACAAGCAAAGAAAUAACACUUUGAGACCUAAGAAAUCUUGUACUUUCCCUCAAAAAACUCCCCUCAAGGUAAACAAACUUACUCAGCAUAACUUUAAGGCAUUCAAAUUUCAUUUUUCUUUUAAAAAUAUAAUUUUUAUUUAAUUUGGCACAAUAUAUUCCUUAAUUUCUGAAUAAUCUUUUAAUUUAAUUUGUUUAGUCGUCUAAUGGCCUGAGUCUUCCUCCUCAGUAUGCUUUCUGAUACUUCACUGUUUAAUGUUUGCCUUGAGAUACCCCACUAUAAAGAAGAACCCACAAAUUCAAGUGUUUCAAACACUAAUUUCUCCAACUUAGCUUUAACAAAUGUAUAAAUAGAUUCCAGUCUCCAAAGGUAUCUUGCCAUCCUUCAAAGCAUACUCUGUCACAUAGGACAAGCAAGGUAUUUGAUGCGGUACCACAGUGCUCUAAGCCACUCUCAAAUCCAAGAGCUUCCAUCCUUGGUUGCUGUACUGGGCUUAUGUAAUACUGACGGUACAGCAAUGGGUCCCAGUGACCACAGGCCAUACACAUAUGGAGGCAAAUGGUUCCUCAUUAUGGAGGGUUGGGAGGCCAGGCAGCCCUGACUGGAAGUGUGAAGAGGAACGCAGGAAAAGAGUCACAGGUUUCCAAAUCAACCUCCUGCAAGAAAAAAUCCCAGCAAAACCAAUUGGCCAGGAGCUCCACACUGGAGACACUGCAUUUUGCCUACACGUGACCUAUUUUGGAUUUCUUUUUUCCUCCAUUAUUCCUCACUUAUUUCAUCUUCAUCUGACCCAUUUACAUACAUCUUCAUUCAUCAUCUUUGUCCAUUCAAAAGGCCAGCUAUGAUAUCCAAGAAUGAAAACGAUUGUCCAGAAAUACUGGUAUGUAUCAGUAUUAUCUGGGGAUCACCAUUUUCAUUCUUUCUAUGGAACCUCUAUCACAUUACUGAAUAGACAAUGAAAGAUGGGCUAGUAUAUACACUAACGAACCUCAUUCCUUUAGAGUGAAUAUCAGCCCAAGCACCAAUGUCCAGUCAUUUGAAAACGCAAUCAAAUCCAAACGUGUCCUCUGAUAUCUUGUAAACUGAGAUUCAGAUUUGGAUGAACAUGAAAUGGAAACACCCCCACCACAAGCAUUCAGACAACCUCACUCUCCUCAUUGUUUCAUCUAAGCUUCUUGAAAAAUUUUCAACCAUUCAUGCUCUAGAACUCUUAAAAAAUCAGGAAAGCAAGUGAAUUUCAUCUACUUUUAUCCUUCUUGGAUAACAUGUUGCUUUAAAUUCCAUGUCUACAUUUUUAUUUAUCAACUAUAUAUUAAUUUUACAAAACAUUUUUAUACAUUUUUUAAAAACUGCUUCAUAUGAAUUAAUUUCUGACACUUCAUUCUCAAUAUCAUUCUCAGCUCUCAUCUCAGUUCUCAAUACUCAAUCAUUCUCAAUAUCUCAUAUAACAUUUCAUCUGUCAUUGCUUGAAAUUCCAUACCCCACUUCCAGGAUUCAUCUUCAAAUGCAAGUGCAUCCAAUACUCUUCCCCAAACAGCUGUAGGCAAAAUCUAUAAGUUGAUUUCAGUCCUCCAAGGCCUAUCCCCAUCCCUCAAAGUAUCCUCUCUUGUACUGGAGGAUUGAUGCCGUUUAAUAACUUCCCUUUAGAUACUGAAGCUCUCUCAAAUCCAAGAGCUUCCUGCCUCUUUUGCCACCCUGGACUCAAGCAAAAUCUUCCACACACCAUUAUGUUCUAGUAUUCACAAGUCACAUAUGGAGGUAAAAGAUUCUCCAUCACAUAGAGUUGAGAGUCCCAGCAGCCCCGGUGAGAAACGGGAAGAAUUCACGUAAACAAUUUCAGUUCACCAUUCUACCUCCAGAGAGAAUAAAUUCUUUCAAGAAAACUCAAGUUACCAAGAGUUGCCCACUGAGGAUAUUCAUUUUGUCUAAAGAUGAGCCAUUCCUGAAUUUCUUUUUCCUCUACAUUUCUCACCUAGUUGAUUGUAAUUUGGCCUUCCUUUUAAAAUAUUCCCCUCAUUUUUGCUUAUCCAGAAAGCUAGACAUGAUAUCGGAUAAGGAUAUUAUUAAGGAAGACAGAUUUCAUGUAAGCUAACUGCCAGUUUCUUCCCUAACCCAUAGGCAAUGCCCCAGACCUGAAUAGCCAAGAAAAAGAGUGACAUUUAGUUCACUAAUGACUCCUGUUCUUAACACUGAGUUGAAUUUUAUAAAAUUUGAGUAAUAUUAUUUACUUAUUUGAAAUCAUAUUCUAGUUCCAAACAUUAUCUUCAUUAUCUUAUAAUUUGAGACCAAAGGAAGUCUAAAUGAAACUUUGUAUGUAACAAAUAAAUAAGCAAAUUAAAAAGGUGGGGGAAAGCCAUUUUCCUAUCCUGUCUUCUCCACUAUUUUCUGAUAAUCUGAUCUUGAUUCAACAACAAAGAAAUAACACUUUAUAAACCAAGAAAGUUUGUACAUUCCUUCCCCAAAUUCUCUUCAAGGUUAAUAGACUUACUCAGCAUAAUUUUAUGUCAUUAUCAUUCUUUGUUUUAAGAUACAAAAAUGCCAUUUUAUUUUACAUAAUCCUUCUCAAUUUAUGAAAAAUCUUUUCAUUCAAUUUCUUCAGUCCUCUGAUUCCUCUCUUCUUCCUCUGUAAUCUUUCUGCAACUUCAUCAGUGUUUGCCUUGAGAUACAAUACUGUCAAGAGUCACUCUCAAAUCAUAUGCUCCAGCAUUCAUUUUUGCAUUGAAUAGAGUUCAAGAAAUGUGUAAGUUGAUCUGAGGAUUUCAAGAUGUCUUGCUGUACUUAUGUAGGACAAGCAAGGUAUUUGAUGCGGUACCACAGUGCUCUAAGCCACUCUCAAAUCCAAGAGCUUCCAUCCUUGGUUGCUGUACUGGGCUUAUGUAAUACUGACGGUACAGCAAUGGGUCCCAGUGACCACAGGCCAUACACAUAUGGAGGCAAAUGGUUCCUCAUUAUGGAGGGUUGGGAGGCCAGGCAGCCCUGACUGGAAGUGUGAAGAGGAACGCAGGAAAAGAGUCACAGGUUUCCAAAUCAACCUCCUGCAAGAAAAAAUCCCAGCAAAACCAAUUGGCCAGGAGCUCCACACUGGAGACACUGCAUUUUGCCUACACGUGACCUAUUUUGGAUUUCUUUUUUCCUCCAUUAUUCCUCACUUAUUUCAUCUUCAUCUGACCCAUUUACAUACAUCUUCAUUCAUCAUCUUUGUCCAUUCAAAAGGCCAGCUAUGAUAUCCAAGAAUGAAAACGAUUGUCCAGAAAUACUGGUAUGUAUCAGUAUUAUCUGGGGAUCACCAUUUUCAUUCUUUCUAUGGAACCUCUAUCACAUUACUGAAUAGACAAUGAAAGAUGGGCUAGUAUAUACACUAACGAACCUCAUUCCUUUAGAGUGAAUAUCAGCCCAAGCACCAAUGUCCAGUCAUUUGAAAACGCAAUCAAAUCCAAACGUGUCCUCUGAUAUCUUGUAAACUGAGAUUCAGAUUUGGAUGAACAUGAAAUGGAAACACCCCCACCACAAGCAUUCAGACAACCUCACUCUCCUCAUUGUUUCAUCUAAGCUUCUUGAAAAAUUUUCAACCAUUCAUGCUCUAGAACUCUUAAAAAAUCAGGAAAGCAAGUGAAUUUCAUCUACUUUUAUCCUUCUUGGAUAACAUGUUGCUUUAAAUUCCAUGUCUACAUUUUUAUUUAUCAACUAUAUAUUAAUUUUACAAAACAUUUUUAUACAUUUUUUAAAAACUGCUUCAUAUGAAUUAAUUUCUGACACUUCAUUCUCAAUAUCAUUCUCAGCUCUCAUCUCAGUUCUCAAUACUCAAUCAUUCUCAAUAUCUCAUAUAACAUUUCAUCUGUCAUUGCUUGAAAUUCCAUACCCCACUUCCAGGAUUCAUCUUCAAAUGCAAGUGCAUCCAAUACUCUUCCCCAAACAGCUGUAGGCAAAAUCUAUAAGUUGAUUUCAGUCCUCCAAGGCCUAUCCCCAUCCCUCAAAGUAUCCUCUCUUGUACUGGAGGAUUGAUGCCGUUUAAUAACUUCCCUUUAGAUACUGAAGCUCUCUCAAAUCCAAGAGCUUCCUGCCUCUUUUGCCACCUAGUUGAUUGUAAUUUGGCUUUCCUUUUAAAAUAUUCCCCUCAUUUUUGCUUAUCCAGAAAGCUAGACAUGAUAUCUGAUAAGGAUAUUAUUAAGGAAGACAGAUUUCAUGUAAGCUAACUGCCAGUUUCUUCCCUAACCCAUAGGCAAUGUCCCAGACCUGAAUAGCCAAGAAAAAGAGUGACAUUUAGUUCACUAAUGAUGCCCUUUCUUAAUAAUAAAACCCAAAGUAGACCACAAAUAUCCAUUUAUUUGAAAUCAAAUUACAUUCCAAAUAUAUCCUUUGCCAUAUUUAAAUCUGAGUCCAAAAUGUGAAAUAUAAGUGAAAUUUCAUUGUCAAUAAAUGAACAAAUGAGCAAAGAAAGAAAAAAGCCAUUGGCCUAUCCUGUCUCCCUCACUAUUUUAGCUGAUGAUUUGGUCAUGAUCCAACAGUCAAAGAAAUACCACUUUAUAACCUAAGAAAGCUUCCUUUCCAUUCCUUCACAAAGCUCUCCUCAAGGUGAAGAAACUUACUCAGCAUAAUUACACUGAAAUUCCUUUCUUUGUUUUAAAAUAGAUUUAUCAAUUGAUUUUUUUGUCAACUGAUUUUACAUAAUCUUUCCCUCAAUUUCUGUUUUCUUUAAUAUCAGUUUAUUUUAGUCCUUAUACUGGAGACAUUGAAUUUCGUCUGCAGAUGACCCAUUUUGCAUUUCUUAUUUGCUCUAUGUUUCUCACUUAUUUAAUUUUAAUUUGGCCCUCAUUUUCAUGAAUCUUUGCUAAUGUAAAAAAAUAGAUAUGGUAUCCAAGAAUGAAAAAGAAUUUCUAGAAAUACUUUUUGAGAAAAUGUGGCAUGUAUCAUCUUCUAGGACAGAUAUUUCCAUUACUAUGGAUGCUGGGUCCCACAGCUGAAGAGACAAUGAAAGACUGUACUAGUGAGCCUCUUUCUUUCAUAGAGGAUGUCAUCAAAAAUACCAAUAUCAAGUCAUUUGAAAAUGCCUUUGAUUCCAACAAUAUCCAUGGAUAUCUUGAAAUAUGAAACGCAAGUGUGGAUGAAAAUGAAAUGAAAAUAAAUGCUUCCCUACAAAAAUAUUCAGACAAUCUCAUUCUACUCACAGUUUGAGCUGAGAUUUUAUCAAUUUUACAGCUUCUUAGGUCCCAGAACUCUAAAAACUGGGAAAUCAGGUGAAUUCCAUCUACUUUAACAUUUCUUGGAUAACAUCCUUGUUGAGUAUAUUAUUUUAUGUUUUAAAUCAUACAUUAAUUUUAUAAAGCAUUUUCUUCCUUUUAAAAAAUAUUGCUUCAUAGAAAUGUAUUUGUGCUUCUCCGUGCCUCUCCAUCAUUCUCAACAUCUGAUAUUUCAUUCACUGAAAUUUCAUACCAUACUCUUAGGAUUCACCUUUAAAUGCAAGUGCUUCUAAAAAUCUUUUUUUCCAAAACAGCUUUAGGCAAUCCACAAGUUGAUGAGGCCUCCUCCAUCCUUAAAAAGAUUUUCUCUAAUUCUAGAAAAGUGAGGUGUUUAAUUUCAAACCAUAGGAUUUUGAGGCACUCUCAAAUAGAAGAGGUUCCUAACUCCUUCUCCACCAAAUCUUAGGCACACUACCAAGUCCCAGGGUACACAAGCCAUGUAUAUAAAUAAAAGAUUUUCCAUUAUAUAGAGCUGGGAGGCCACAAAGCCCUAGGUAGGAUUGGGAAAAUGAAUUCAUGUAAUGAAUUUCUGUUCCCUAUUAUUAUCUACAUUCAGAACAAAGUCUUUCUUGCAAAUGCAAAUGUCUAAGAACUGCACACUGGGGAUAUUUUAUUUUGCCUACAGAUGACCCUUUCUUGAUUUCCUUUUUCCUCCAUGUUUCUCACCUAUUUGAUUUGAAUUUGGCCUUCUUGUUCAAAUAUCUCCUUCCUUUUUUGCCUAUCCAGAGAGCCAGGAAUGAUUUCUAAAAAUGAAAAAGCAUUUUAUUAAAUGUGUAUAAGGAAAUUUAUUAACAUGUUCUGUGACACGGCCAGUUGCAUUAAUAUUCCAUAGGCCAUGUCCCAGAGCUGAAUAGCCAAUAAAAAUAUGGCCUUUAGUCAUCCAAUGAUGCCCUUUCUUAAUAAUAGAAUGUAAGCCAAACAAUGAAUAUCCAUUUAUUUGAAAUAAAAUUGAAAUUCUACACAUUCCUUUGCCAUCUUGUAAUUGGAGACAAAAAGAAGUCUAAAUGAAACUUUAUAUGUUAAGUAAAUAAAUAAGCAAAGAAAAGGAGUGGAGAGCCUUUAGCCUAUCUUCCCUUUCCCGCUAUUUUGUCUGAUAUUUGAUCAUGGUCCAACAACCAAAGAAAUAACAUUUUAUAAACCAAGAAAGUACUUUCCUUCACAAAACUCUAAAAGUUAAAACACAUCAUUUUAUGUCAUUAACAUUCUUUGUUUUAAGAUACAAAUGCCAUUUUAUUUUACAUAAUCCUUCUCAAUUUAUGAAAAAUCUUUUCAUUCAAUUUCUUCAGUCCUCUGAUUCCUCUCUUCUUCCUCUGUAAUCUUUCUGGAACUUCAUCAAUGUUUGCCUUGAGAUACCAUACUGUCAAGAGUCACUCUCAAAUCAUAUGCUCCAGCAUUCAUUUUUGCAUUGAAUAGAGUUCAAGAAAUGUGUAAGUUGAUCUGAGGAUUUCAAGAUGUCUUGCUGUACUUAUAGGAAAAGCAAGGUAUUUAAUGCGGUACCACAGUGCUCUAAGCCACUCUCAAAUCCAAGAGCUUCCAUCCUUGGUUGCUGUACUGGGCUUAUGUAAUAUUGAUGGCACAGCAAUGGGUUCCAGUGACCACAGGCCAUACAUAUAUGGAGGGAAAUGGUUCCUCAUUAUGGAGGGUUGGGAGGAAGAGUCUGAGUAAUUCACGUAUCUUCUAUUUACCUAAUUUGCUCCGCUGUAAAAUGGGGAUAAUAGUACCACCUAUUUUCCAGGGUUAUUGUGAGGAUCCAGUAAGGUAACAUAUACACAAAAAGCACAAUGCCCAGCACAUAGUGAGUACCAUUUAAAUGUCAUCAUUAUUUUUUUCUGAGCAUUCCUUGCUAAGCUUAUCUCAUUCGUCCCAUGCUUCUCUCCAUCCUUCACAGCAUACUCUCCUAUACUUCAUGUGUGAUGGGUUUCAUCCAAAUACUGAUGCUUCCCCCUUCUUUCCCAAUAUUGUCUUUAUGCUCCAAAUUUUGACAAAUUACAAGUGACAGUACUAACAUGUGACAGUAGCUGAUACAUAGAGAUAACAAAUUCACCCUUGCAAAUAGCCCAAAGUAAGCGCUCCACUGACUGGAGGUAGGGAGAAGAGUUCAGAAAAGUAGAUUCCAUUCUCGAAAACAACUUAAAAUAUGACCAACUGCCUUUCUAACAUUUACUGUUAGGCAACAGUUGUUCAGUAGAGACGCCUUAUUUUUCCUAUAGAUGAUCCCAUUUACUAAUAUCAUAACAUCUAAAUAGUUGUAAUCUUUUUAAUUUUAAUUUCCUUUUAAUUUUCAAAUUACUUUUAGCCACUUGUUUUACUAAUUAGAAAGUCAUCACUUGUACCAAAAAAAAAUUUUAAAGCAGCUUAAAGAUAAUUCCAAAAUUAGAAAUCACCUAUGCAUAAGACUCUGAAAAAUAUAAAAAAUAUUCAGCAUGCCAGAGCUAUAUAAACAACAAAAGCACUGACAUUUUAUCCACAGAUAACUUUGUUUUGUGGGACCAUAUUAUUUUUGUAUUUUAAUAUUUCCUUAGAAAGAGUCCUGAGCUGAGGUUUAAUGGUUAGGGCUGGGAAGACAAAUUCAUGAAAUUAACCUCACUUCUUGAUAACCAGCUAAACCAAGUUGUUUUCCUUCACACAUGGCAAAGAACUGAGUCCUCUGGCUGUAUCAUCUUUCAUAGAAUGAGCAUCAUUCUUGAAAGAAUAUUUGAUUGAUAUAUUUGAUUUUUGAUACAAUGAUUUGAUAUUUGAUUCUUGAUAUAAUAAUUAACUACAUUUUCAAAAAUAAUAGUCUUCAUUUCACUAGGUAGACAACAGACUUUAUAUCACGGAAUGAAAAAAGAAAUGCACUGAAUGCACUUCAACAAAUUCAACUAACAUGAGCUCUGAUAGAUGGUUUCAGAAUGAUACCACACCCAGUGUUCCAGAGCGCUAUUGACUACCAGCUAGGACGUGCUACCCACUGAUGGUCUUGUUUCAUUACAACAGGAGAUCAACAUUAUUUCUAGCAUCCAUUUUUUGAAAUCAUUUUCAUUUAUACACAUAUCCUUCAUCAUCCAGUUCCCAGGAUUCCACACCCAAUGUCCCAGAGCUCUAUAGACAAAUCACAAACUUUUUCCCAAAACCUGACUGAAUUUAUUCCAGAAUGCCAGAAAUUCUACUAAUAUCCUUUGUUUCAGCAUCACCUUCUGAUGCAAACAUAUCCUACUCCAUCCUUCACUAAUCCCAGGACCAGAACUUCUAUUCCUCCCUCCCCCCCCAAAAAAAACAACCAAAAAAUGCAGUAAACUCACUUCUAAAAAAUCAUCUACACACAAGUGUGAUGGACAGCUUCAGAAAGAGCCUACACCCAGUACUCCAGAGCUCUAUAGACAUGAGCAUGCUACCCACUGAUGGUCUUGUUUCAUUACAACAGGAGAUCAACAUUAUUUCUAGCAUCUAUUCUUUUGAAAUCAUUUUCAUUUAUACACAUAUCCUUCAUCAUCCAGUUCCUAGGAUUCCACACCCAAUGUCCCAGAGCUCUAUAGACAAAUCACAAACAUUUUCCCAAAACCUGACUGAAUUUAUUCCAGAAUGCCAGAAAUUCUACUAAUAUCCUUUGUUUCAGCAUCACCUUCUGAUGCAAACAUAUCCUACUCCAUCCUUCACUAAUCCCAGGACCAGAACUUCUAUUCCUCCCUCCCCCCCCCAAAAAAAACAACCAAAAAAUGCAGUAAACUCACUUCCAAAAAAUCAUCUACACACAAGUGUGAUGGACAGCUUCAGAAAGAGCCUACACCCAGUACUCCAGAGCUCUAUAGACAUGAGCAUGCUACCCACUGAUGACCUUGUUUUAUUAUAACAGGAGAUCAACAUUAUUUCUAGAAUCCAUUCUUUUGAAAUAAUUUUCAUUUAUACACAUAUCCUUUAUCAUCCAGUUCCCAGGAUUCCACACCCAAUGUCCCAGAGCUCUAUAGACAAAUCACAAACAUUUUCCCAAAACCUGACCAAAUUUCUUUAUUUCAGAAUGCAGAAAUUCUACGAAUAUCCUUUGUUUCAGCAUCAUCUUCUGAUACAAACAAGUUCAUCUCCAUCCUUCACUAACCACAGGCCCAGAACUUGUAUCAAAGAAACAAAAAAGAAAUGCAAAAAACUCACUUCCAAAAAAAUCAUCUACACAUGAGUGUGAUGGACAGCUUCAGAAAGAUGCCACACCCAGUAUUCCAGAGCUCUAUAAACAGCCAGAUAGACAUGUUACCCACUGAUGGCCUUGUUUCAUUAUAACAGGAGUUCAACAUUAUUUCUAGCAUCCAUUCUUUUGAAAUCAUCUUCUGCAUCAUCCAGUUCCCAGGAUUCCACACUCAAUGACCCAGAGCUCUAUAGACAAAUCACAUUUUCCCAAAACCUGAUUGAAUUUAUUCCAGUAUGCCAGAAAUUCUACUAAUAUCCUUUGUUUCAGCAUCAUCUUCUGAUACUAACAUAUCCUACUCCAUCCUUCACUAAUCACAGGACCAGAACUUGUAUCAAAGAAACAAAACAGAAAUGCAGUAAAUUUAUUUCCCAAAAGUCACCUAUACAUGAGUGUGAUGGACAGCUUCAGAAAGAUGCCACACCCAGUGAUCCAGAGCUCUAUAGACAGCCAGAUAGGACAUGCUACCCAUUGAUGGCCUUGUUUCAUUAUAACAGGUCAACAUUAUUUCUAGCAUCUGUUCUUUUGAAAUCAUUUUCAUUUACACAUAUAUCCUUCAUCAUCCAGUUUCCAAGAUUCCACACCCAAUGUCCCAGAGCUCUAUAGACAAGUCACAGACAUUUUCCCAAAACCUGAUCAAAUUUCUCUAUUCCAGAAUGCAGAAAUUCUACUAAUAUCCUUUGUUUCAGUAUCAUCUUCUGAUACAAACAUAUCCCACUCCAUCCUUCAGCAAUCACAGGAACAGAACUUCUAUUAAAAAAAAGAAAUGCAGCAAACUCACUUGCAAAAAAUCACCUACACAUGAGUGUGAUGGACAGCUUCAGAAAGAGGCUACACCCAGUAUUCCAGAACUCACAGCUAGAGCAUGCUACCCACUGAUGGCCUUGCAACAUUAUUUCUAGAAUCCAUUCUUUUGAAAUCAUCUUUAUUUACAUAUAUAUCCAUCAUCAUCCAGUUCCCAGGAUUCUACACCCAAUGUCCCAGAGCUCUAUAGAAAAAUCACAGACAUUUCCCCAAAACCUGACCAAAUUUCUUUAUUCCAGAAAUUCUACUAAUAUUCUUUGUUUCAGCGUCAUCUUCUGAUUGUAAGACUAAAAAUGAAUACUCCAAAUAUUUAAAUUUAUAGGAUUUAAUAACAACAGGGUGAGAGAGAAAGGGAUUCCUUCAGCCAAGUGAGCAGAGCAAAGAGCCAGAGCCCUAGAAGUCUGCCACGCUUGAGCCAAAGAAAAAAAGCCCCUGCAGCAUGUGUUUCAGCAAAUUUAUAAACAAACCCAUGCCAGGAUGCAAACACAGGGAUACCAGAAAAGGGAACCCCAGGAAGAAUAAAGAAUGCUGGGAAAUGAAAUCCCUACAUAUGAUAUAAACAUAUCCCACUCCAUCCUUCACUAACCACAGGACCAGAAUUUCUAUCCAAAAAAAAUGCAAAAAACUCACUUCCAAAAAAUCAUCUAUACAUGAGUGUGAUGGACAGCUUCAGAAAGAUGCCACACCCAGUGAUCCAGAGCUCUAUAGAAAACCAGUUAUAACAUGCUACCCACUGAUGGCCUUGUUUCAUUAUAACAGGAGGUCAACAUUAUUUCUAGCAUCUAUUCUUUUGAAAUCAUUUUCAUUUACACAUAUAUCCUUCAUCAUCCAGUUCCCAGGAUUCAACACCCAAUGCCCCAGAGCUCUAUAGACAAAUCACAGACAUCUUCCCAAAACCUGACUGAAUUUAUUCCAGAAUGCCAGAAAUUCUACUAAUAUCCUUUGUUUCAGCAUCAUCUUCUGAUACGAACAUAUCCCACUCCAUCCUUCACUAAUCACAGGACCAGAACUUGUAUCAAAGAAACAAAACAGAAAUGCAGUAAAUUUAUUUCCCCAAAAUCACCUACACAUGAGUGUGAUGGACAGCUUCAGAAAGAUGCCACACCCAGUGAUCCAGAGCUCUAUAGACGGCCAGAUAGGACAUGCUACCCAUUGAUGGCCUUGUUUCAUUAUCACAGGAGGUCAACAUUAUUUCUAGCAUCUAUUCUUUUGAAAUCAUUUUCAUUUAUACACAUAUCCUUCAUCAUCCAGUUCCCAGGAUUCCACACCCAAUGUCCCAGAGCUCUAUAGAGAAAUCACAGACAUUUUCCCCAAACCUCAUUGAAUUUAUUCCAGAAUGCCAGAAGUUUUAAUAAUAUUCUUUGUUUCAGCAUCAUCUUCUGAUGCAAAAAUAUCCCACUCCAUCCUUCACUAAUCACAGGACCAGAACUUCUAUAAAAAAAGAUGCAGUAAACUCACUUGCAAAAAAUCACCUACACAUGAGUGUGAUGGACAGCUUCAGAAAGAGCCUACGCCUAGUACUCCAGAGCUCUAUAGACAACCAGCUAGAGCAUGCUACCCACUGAUGGCCUUGUUUCAUUAUAACAGGAGAUCAACAUUAUUUCUAGAAUCCAUUCUUUUGAAAUCAUUUUCAUUUAUACACAUAUCCUUCAUCAUCCAGUUCCCAGGAUUCCACACCCCGUGUCCCAGAGCUCUAUAGAAAAAUCAGACAUUUUCCCAAAACCUGACCAAAUUUCUUUAUUUCAGAAUGCAGAAAUUCUACUAAUAUCCUUUGUUUCAGUAUCAUCUUCUGAUACGAACAUAUCCCACUCCAUCCACAGGCCCAGAACUUAUAUCAGAGAAACAAAAAAAGAAAUGCAAAAAACUCACUUCCAAAAAAAUCACCUACUCAUGAGUGUGAUGGACAGCUUCAGAAAGAGACCACACCCAGUAUUCCAGAGCUCUAUAAACAGCCAGAUAGACAUGUUACCCAUUGAUGGUCUUGUUUUAUUAUAACAAAAUGUUAACAUUAUUUCUAGCAUCCAUUCUUUUGACAUCAUCUUCAUUUAUACACAUGUGCUUCAUCAUCCAGGACCCAGGAUUCCACCUGGUAUCCCAGAGCUCUUUAGACAAAUCACAUUUUUCCAAAACCUGACCAAAUUUCUUUAUUUCAGAAUGCCAGAAAUCUUGCUAAUAUCCUUUGUUUCAGCAUCAUCUUCUGAUACAAACAAAACCAUCUCCGUCCUUCACUAAACACAGGACCAGAACUUGUAUCAAAGAAACAAAAAAAGAAAUGCAGUAAACUCACUUCCAAAACAUCACUAAAACAUGAGUGAGGUAGACAGUUUCAGAAAGAUACCACGCCCAGGGUAGGGAAUAUUGCUUAUUGAUGGCCUUGUUUCAUUAUAAGGAGAGGUCAACAUUAUUCUUCGCACUCAUUCUUUUGAAAUCAUCUGCAUUUCCACACACAUCCUUCAUCAUCUAGUUCCCAGGAUUCCAUAUCUAGUGUCCCAGAGCUCUAUAGACAAAUCACACAUUUUUCCAAAACCUGACCAAAUUUCUCUAUUUCAGGAUGCCAGAAACCUUACUAAUUUCCUUUGUUUCAGCAUCAUCUUCUGAUACAAACAUAUUCCACUCCAUCCCUCACUAACCACAGGACAAGAACUUAUAUCAAAGAAACAAAAAAGAAACACAGUAAAUUUACUUCCCCAAAAAUCACCUAAACAUGAAUGUGAUGGACAGCUUCCAAAAGAUACCAUUCCCAAUGUCUCAGAGCUCUAUUGACAACCAGCUAGAGCAUGCUACCCGUUGGUGGCCUUGUUUCAUUAUAACAAGAGGUCAGCAUUAUUUCUCAUUCAUUCUUUUGACAUCAUUUUCAUUGACACACAUAACCUUCAUCAAGUUCCCAGAGAGUCUACAUUCCUAUCAAAGAAUGAAUCGACAAGUAGAAUAAAGACCCUUGAAUGAAACACAACCUCAUCAAAGCUUCAGCUUAACCUUUAGGCCAUAUUUCACAACUAAUGUUCCACAGUGGUGUAGUGGACGCAAGUAAUUGCAUUGCUUCUCUCAGUUCUCUUCCAGGAAAGCAUCCUUGCUCAUUAUAAUUGAAUUGUAUUUUGUUUCACCUGUUACUUUUUUCCAUUCAUAGGUUCAAAGUCACUUUAUACAACACUUUUUUCUCUUGCUUAGCAUUUUCCAGCAUUAACUAGUUUCAGUCUUCCUAUUCCUCCCUCCAUCUGGCCAAGCAUUCUUUCUUAUACUGCAGAAGUCCUGGGAUUCCUUCUCAUACAAUCAGAUGAUGAGAUGCCUUCAAAUUCAAGAGCUUCCAAUCUUCUUUUUCCAAUACAGGCCUAAGGAGGAACCUUAGGCAGAAUCUCAAGUCCCUGUGAUCACAGCCCAUAUAUCAUCAUGAAUUCUCCUCUGAAAAUGGCCCUGAGUCAAGGUCACCAUGGCAGGAGCUGGGAAGAGAGCAGUUCAUGAAAGCAGCCCCGCCUUUCUACAAUAAGCCAUAAUGUAACCAACUCAGUUAUUCAACAGCUAUGAACAUGGGACAAAUAAUUUUCCCCACAGAUUACUUUUUUCUUUGAUAUCAUAAGGUCCAAACAUGCUUACUAUAUUUUGUCUGGAUAACGCCUUCAUUUCUAGGUACGUCUCUUCACUUCCUUUCGCUAGCUAAAUAGCCCAAAUCAAACAAAGAGAAAAGAAAUUGGACUAAAACAAAAUUGAAAAAAAUCAACAUAAGCAAAAGGUCUGUUUGAAAUUCCACUUUCACUGUUACAGACCUUUACAGACAACCAAAGCAUUGGCAAUUUGCCCACUGGUAGCCCUGUUUCCUUCCACAACAAUGACAAGUCUUCUCCUUGGCAUUUUUUGACAUCUGUAUUAAUAAACAAGUCCUUCAUAAAACUGUUGUCAGGGAACCAAUUUUUCUUUUUAUCAAACAAUGGAAGUAAAAAUGCAAGUAAGACAUGUCCACCAACAUCUCCCUCAUCAAAAUUCCGACUGUGGGUUUAGGCAUUGUUUCACAAUCAGUGUUCCACAGAAGUGCAUCCAACCAAAGUAAUUGCAUUGCUUCUUUUAAUUCUCUGGGAAAGAAUCCUCAUUCAUUAUAACAGCUUUGCAUUUCACUUCACUUAUUAGGACUUGCCCUUCAUAUGCUUGAAGUCAUUUCAUGCAUUGUUGUCUUCUGUUGCCCAGCAUCAUUCUGCAUCACAUUGUUUCAGCUUUCCCAUGACUCUUUCCAUGGUGCCAAGCAUUCUUUGUUAUAAUGCAGAAGUCAUGGGAUUCCUUCCCAUACCAUCAGAUGCCUUCAAAUGCAAGUGCUUCCAGCCCUCUUUCUCCAAAGCAGGUUUGAGGACAAAACUUAGUCAUAUGCCCAAAUUCCUUUCCUCAGAGUUCAUAAAUGGAGAACAUGAAUGCCUCAUUGCAAAUGGUCCUGAGUCUAGAGCUGGGAAGAGAAUGAAAGUAACCCUGCUCCUUGAUAAACUCUAAUGACUAAACUCUACUUAAUUUGUUUCUUAGCACGUACACUUGGCCAAGAGCUGAGGGCUAUGGACCUUUCCCUUUCCAUUUUGAUGACCCUUAUCCUUGAUAUUAUAAUGUCAGCCCAUUUCUAACAUACAUUGGAUAUUUUCCUCUGCUUUUUCAAAAUAUCACUUUACUUCAAAAUUCACCUAGAACCAGACUUGAUAUCACAGAAUGAAAAAAAUGUGUUGAAUAUCCUUGAAAAAUAUCAAUUAACAUGAGCUGUGGUUGAGAAUUUCAGAAAAAAUCCACACCCAGUGUCUCAGAGGUUUAUAGAUGAAUACACUGGGGCCAUUUUACCUAUUGACAACCUUAUAUCUUUUUAUCACGAUACCAAAAAUACCUCUAAUAUUCUUUUGACAUCAUUUUCAUUUAAAAAAAUAUCCCUUCUCAUCCUUCACUAACCAGAACUUGAAUCAAAGAAACAAGAAUGAAAAGUGUUUAAUGGGCUUUUAAAAAAUUACCUACAAAUAAAGUGGGACCAACAGUUUCUUAAAUAUUUGACAUCCAGUGUUCCUGACCUCUAUGAGUAACCAAGAAGUGAUUAUUUUACCUACUGAUGGCUCUGUUUAAUUAUAACAAAAUGUCACCAAUACUUCUCAUCUACAUGACAUCACUUUCAUUCACAAAUAUGUCCUUCUCCAUCUCAUCUCCUGGAAGGCAAGUUUCCUAUCAAAGGAUGAAACUACAAUUUCACUAGACACUUCAGUGUGGUAUACCCUCACCUAAAUUUUCUCAGAGCAGUUAGGCAAUAUUUCACAACCAAGAUCCCACAGCUCUAUAACCAACCAAAGCAAUUGCAUUCCUGCUCUCAUUUCGACUCCAGGAAAAAACAUCUUGCUCAUUAAAAUUGAAUAGCAUUUUGUUAUACCUAUUAGUGUUUUUCCUUAAUAUUUUCAAGUCCCAUUUUACUGAUCAUCCCUCUGAAUCAGUUUGUUUCAUUCUUCCCAUGACUCACUCUAUCUUUCCAAGAAUUCUUUUUAUUCUGCAGAAGACAUGGGCUUUGUUCAUGUACCAUGAAAUGGUGACAUGUUUUCAAAUCCAGGUGCUCCCUUUUUCUCCAACACAGGUCUAAGAGUAAAAUCUCUAAAACACAGUCUUUAUAAUGGAGAUACCGAGUUCUCGCUUAGAAAUGUCCCUAAGGCUGGGCUGCCCUGUCUGGAGAUGGGAAGAGGAGUUCAUGAAAGUAGGCUCACUUUUCCAAAACAAGCUAAUCCAUGAUUCAGCCAGUUUCUAGGACACACAGUUGGCUAAUAGCUGAGGACUUGGGAUGUGAUUUUUCCCUAAUGAUGAACCUGUUCUUUGUUAUCAUCAACACAUUUCAAAUAUAUUUUGUUUAGGUAACACCUUCACUUCCAAAUACAUACUUACUCAUCUUUUCACUAGUCAGAGAGGCAGACGUUUUUAUUUUAAAAAAAUAAAAAAAAAUGUAUUAAAUCUAUUUCCAAAUAAAGUAAACUACAUAUGAGCUAUGAUUAACAUUUCCAGGAACAUUCCAUCUUUAAUAUCCCAGAUAACAAGGUACAGCCAUUUCUCUCAAUGAUUAUCUUCUGUCUUUCUAUCAGAAUGUCAAAAUCCUUUUAAUAACCUUUGUUUUGGUAUUUUAACAAUGUUAAUAAAUUUCUAGACAUUUCUGGCAUUUUGCAUGGAUAUCUCCCUCAUUUCCAAAUGUGUCACUAUAUAUUCUUUCAUUAGUCAGAGAAGAAGACUUUGCAUCAAAAGAUGAAAAAGAAAAUAUAUUAAAUCCACUUCAGAAAAAUCAAUUGAACAUAAUAUGAAAUUGAUAAUUUCCCAAAUAUUCUAUACUCACUGGCCCAAAGAUGCAUAGACAACUCUGUAAUUUACCCCUUGAUAUCCCUUACUCUAGAGUGUAAAAAAGUCAUCUACUAUUUUUUGGCAUUAUCUUCACUUAGACACACACACAUACAUCUCUAUACACACAUAUACAUACAUUUCUAUGUAUCUAUAGCUAUAUACAUAUACAGGUAUACUUCUGAUCUUCCUUCAUUAACCCAAGCAGCAGAACUUGAAUCAAGCAAAAAAAUUCAUUAAAUUCACACACACAAAAUUACUUACACAUAACAUUAUUUACAAAUAACUUACACAUGCGACUGACAAUUUCAGAAAUAUUCCACAUCCAGCAUGGCAUAACUUUCUACACAAUAAAAGCAGGAGAAUUUAACCUACUGGUAGCCCUGUUUCGUUAUAAAAGAACAUCAGCAAUACUUACUUUGCCAUUCUUUUGACAUCACCUUCAUUUAUAAACAUAUCCUUUACCAUCAUAUUCCCAGAGAGCCAACUUUUCUAUCAAAGAAUGAAACUACAAAUGCAAUAAAGACUCUUCAGUCCUAAACGCUUCUACCAAGGUUUUGUCUUUGCAUUUAGGCAAUAUUUCCCAACCAAUGUCCAUAUCUAACCAAAGCAAUUGCAUUCCUUCUCUCCCUUCUCCUUUUAGAAAAGAUCUUUGCCCAUCGCCGUGGUUAUAGCAUUUCAUUUCAUCUUUCAGUGCUUUCCCUUAUUAUAUUUGAAGUUGCUUUAUAUAUAAUGUUUUGCUUUCUUGGUUAGUGUCCCUCUGCACUAGUUGGUUUCCGUCUUUUCUUGAUUUUCUUCAACCUUCAAAGCAUUGUUUUCUUAUUUUACAGAAGUCAUAUGUUUCAUUCAGGUACCAAAGAUGAUGCAGAAGACAUGUAAUUAAUUUUUAUACCUUCACAUGAUGAGAUACCUUCUCCAAGUGCUUCUAACCCUCUUUCUCCAAUGUAGGCCUGAGAACAGAACUUAAGCAAAAUUUUAAAACCCUCUGACUAGAGCCUAUAUAGGGAGAUAAGAAGUUCCCCAUUUCAAAUAACCCUGAUGGACCUGGGAAGAAUAAAAGUAGCCUCAUUUUUCCAGAACAAGCUAAGGUCUGACCAAGUGGUCUUCUAGCACUCAUACUUGGUCAACAGUUGAGGACUAGGGCUAUAUCACUUUCCCUACAGAUGAAACUCUUUCUUAAUACCAUAAUGUUCAAAUAUUUCUCACAUGUUUUAAUUAGAUAUCAAUUUCACUUCCAUAUAUAUGUGUAUAUCUAAUGCAUAUAUAUUAUAUCCCUUCCCAUUUUUCCAGUAGCCAGAGACCCAGAAUUUGUGUCAAAAGAUAAGAGAAAUAUAUAUAUAUAUAAAAUUCAAAUAACUCACCUAAAUGUAAGUUGUGACUGACAAUUUCAGAAUUAUUUCACACUCAGUGUCCCAGAGCUCUACAGAUCACCAAAGAAGCUGCAUUUUACCCACCAAUGACCUUAUUUCUUUAUACCAAAAUUUCAAAAAUACUUUUAAUAUCCUUUGUUUUGACAUCACCUUCACUUAACACCAUGAGCAAUUUUUAUCUCAAAGAAUAAAUUAGAAAUGCAAGAAAAAACACUUUACCUAAACGCACCCUUGCCUAGGCUUUGUCUGAAUAUUUAGGCAAUAUUCAGCAACUAAUGUCUCACCAUUUUUUAACUAGUCAAAGCAGGUAAAUUCCUUCUCUCCAAUCUCCUUCAGGAUAAGAUCCUUGCUCAUUAUAGUCAUAAUGCAUUUCCUUACACCUAUUAGUCUUUUCUGUUAUAUUUUAAAGUUACUUUAUACUAUCUUUUCCUCUGUGGCUGAGCAUCUCUCUUAAUCAGUUUGUUUCAGUCUUCAAAUUUUCAAAUUGUCUUCUCUGAAAUUGCUGGAAUCUUUACUUUUAUUCUUUACCAUAUUGGAUUGAGCUAAUGUUUAAUUGAUGUGCUUCAGCCUUGCUUCUCCAGAGGAGCCCUAUGAAUUAAAAUGAAAUAUUAUCCAGAGUCCAUGUGACUACAGUACCCAUAUAAUCAACUGACCAUUGAAAAUGGCCCAUAGAAGACCUGCCCUGGAUUAAGCUGAGGAGUUCAUUAAGGUAAUCUGACUUCUUAAGAACCACCCAAUUUUUGACCCAACUUGAAUCUACAGCUGGCCUAAGUUGGCAUAAGACCAGAGAUUGAUUGUUUCCCCUAACUUCUUCAUUUGAUAAAUUCGAGAUAUUUCUAAUACUUUUCAUUUUGCUAUUACAUUCAUUUCCAAUUGUAUUCCUACUUUUCCCUUCCCUAGCCAGAGAGCCAGAAUUUGUUCAAAGACUAAAAAACACAUUUUUUUGCCUGUCAUCUUCAUAGAAAUUGUGUCUGAGAGUUAGUGAGUCCACAACUAAGUCCCUACCAUUCUUUUUUCUACUUAGUUAAGGGCAUCCCUCCUCUCAUCUCUCCUCAAUGACCAAGAUCCAUUUUUACGUGCAGUUUCACCUAUUAAUGUCUUCCCUUGAUAUUUUUUGAAUCACUGUAUACAUUCUUUCCCUCUCCUGAUGAGUAUUUCUCAGGAUCACUUCAUUUCAGUCUUCCCAUACCUCCCUACAUCCUUUAAACAUCUUUUCUCAUAUUGCAGGAAUCAUGGUUAUCCCUCACUUACCAGAGUAUGUUGAGGCAUUCCCCAGUCCAUGUACCUUUCCCGAUUCCUUGAUGUCUUGUUACAGGAUCAAAAAUAAGGACCGUCCCUUCCAUGUGUAGAGAGUUCUUAACCAUUUGGAGCUGGCUCUGAGGCAGAGCUGCCAUGGUUGAUGUUUGGAGGGUGAGUAAAUCAAGUAAACCUCACCCUUCCUGACACAGCCAGGACCCAGACUCUGACCCAUCCAGUCUCCAGGACCUACUUCUGAACAACAGGAUAGAACCCCAGAUUUUCCUUUUACCUUGGUGCCUAACCAAAGCUUUGCUUCUUGACAACAAGCUGGUCAUUUAAAGUAGGAAUUCUGCCUAUGUGUAAUCAUUUCAAAACCAUGUGGAGCUGGCCCUGGGGAAGAGCUGCCCUGGCUGAUGUUUGGAGAGUGAGUAAAUCAAGCAAACCUCACCUCUCUGUAGCACAGCAGGCAACAGACUCAAACCCAUCCAGUCUCCCAACUCUCCACCUGCCAUUCGGGCAAGGACUAGGCCAUUGUUAUCCAACUGUUCAACAGAUCUGCUUCUUGAAUCCAAGACACAGGACCAGAGAUCCUCAAUUUUCCUUACCCCCUUUAAAAGUCCAAAACAAAAUAGGCUAUGUACAGUGGAACUGGCUCUGGGGAAGAGCUGCCCUAGCUGAUGUUUGGAGGGUGAGUAAAUCAAGAAAGCCUCACCCUUCCAGAUCCAGCCAGGAUCCAGACUCUGACCCAUCCAGGCUCUCGUCAUCUGAAUAGGACCUGGACUUUGCCUUUUUCUGAACUGUUUAACCCUACUUCUUUCCUUUGCUUUAUCUUUACAAUUUUCGUCAUAGCCUUUGUUUUUACAUCACCUUCAUUUCCAAAUAUACCCAUCCCCAUUAUUUCCAUUCUAAGCCAUCCCUUAGUACAAGAAUCAGAUUAAAGAAAUGAAGCUAAAGUGGUUCUGUUAAGUCCCACCAGGAACAACAUAUUUCUCCCACAUCUAUAUAGAAGGAACUGAGAUGAUUUUUCGCAAGUCCACGAGAAUAUCCUUGGUCUCUACAAUAAACAAUGCACUCACUUUUUUUGCUUUGAGAAGCUUUCCACUGUGGUAGUGAUUGAUUAUAUUGUUUUCCUAGUUCUCCUUCCUUCCCUCUGCAUUAUCUACUAAGAGUCUUCCCGUUUCCCCUCCCUAAAUCCUUCCUAUUCCCUUUAAAAUCCAUUACCAACAGCAUUAAUUAAUUUUGUAUAAAAUGUAUAAUUUGUUUAAGCCUUCCUCCAAUCGAUAUUGGCUAUUUCUUGAAAACUAGCCACUGUACCCAAAGUAUAUCUCCUCCAGGGUCUUUGCCCCACUCCAGGCAUAGGUAAUUGACUGUGGGACCUAGCCUUGCAGCAGAGGUGCCCAUACUGAAGUUGAGAGGGUGAGUAAAUCUGAAACAAACCUCACUCCUCCCAGUCCAACUAGGCUCUAGACUCUGACCCAUUCAGUCCUUGGAUUCUACUUCUGACCAUUAAGAUAGGACCUGGGUCUUUCCAUUUAGCCUGAUGCUUCUCCAGCUUCUUGACAGCAGGGCACUGGACUUAAGAGAGAGAGAAAAAGAAUCCCUCCAGAGCCCAUGCCUCUCCUCCCCUGUGGAGGUAAUUUAAUCCUUAAUUGACUAGGCUCUGGGGCAAACCUGUCCUGCUUGAGGAUUACAGGGUGAUUUAUUCAAUGACACCUAAUUUCUCUACAACUAGAUAGACCCUAAGUUCUUUUCCCUUGCUCUAUCUGGUUCCUAUUUCUGUCCACCAGACUACAACCUGAAAUUACCUAUUUAUUACCUUGUCAUGAGCUCAUUGGACCAGAAAUAGAUAUCCUCUAGAGUCCAUAGCAACCCUGCUCCUCCCCCACUGCCUCCCUCAUCCCUCAGGUCUGGGGAUUGUUAUUUCAUUAUUGGAGCAGGCCCAGAGGAGGAGCUAACCUGGCUGGCACUGAGAUGGUGAGAUAGUCAAGGAAGUCUCACAUGUAGAGAAUUAACCCAGGCUAAACACACACAACCAGUCCUUAGCCUUUUUGCCCAAGAACUUGGGGUCCCAAGGGAAUGUGUCACUUUCUUGAUGAUCAUCCCUUGUGUCUUUAUAUUACAAUCUUUUUUUUCACCGAUGUGAAAUCUUUUGUUCCUAUAUUGUAAUCACUGCCAUAUAAAGCUUUUCUUAUCAUUCCUUGCUGAUAGAAAUGUCCCUUAUAAAAGAGAAUGUAAAGUGAUUUGCAAACAUGGAAGUACUAUGUAAAUGCUAGCUAUUAUUAUUAUUAAGAAAAGAAUUGCAAAAAUGGCACUUUGAUAAAAUCAAACUUCCCCUCAACCAUAUUUGACUCUAUACACUAUAUUCUACACCCACAGUCCCUCACUACUGCAAAACAAAAAAAGCAGAUAUUUUCACAACUAUUCUUCAGGACCCAGAUCCGUAGACCUUACUAUUCUAGUCUUUUUACUUUGUUUUUUAUUGCUUUCCAUUGACAUUUUUGGAGUCACUAUAUACAUUCUGGUCCUUUUUUUCUGAACAUUCCUUUGUAUCAGUUUGUUUCAGUCUUCCUUCAUCACUCUACGCAUCCUUUCUCAUACUGUAGAAGUCAAUCAUUUCAUUCACAUGCCAUAAUAUAUUGAGAUAAUUCCCCGUCAAUGCCUUUCCUAGGUACGUUUUGACACUUGGCCACUGGAUUAAAAGUACAAACCCUCCAGAAUCCAUGGCCUCAUCUAUUUUGGAGAUCAUUGGUUCCCCAUUUGAGCUGGCUCUGAGGCAGAGCUGCCCUGGCUGAUGUUUGGAGGGUGAGUAAAUAAAAAAGCCUCACCCCUCCUGAUACAGUCAAGACCCAGACUCUGACUCAUCCAGUGCUUGGGGUCUACUUCUGAUAAUCAGGCUAGAACCUAGUAUUCUGCUAACCUGAUGCCUCAACUCCUGCUUCUUGCUACCAUUCUACUGGACCAAAAGUAGAGACCCUCCAGAGUCCAUGACUUCUUCCCAUGUGUAAAGAAUUCAUAAUCAUUUGGAGCUGGCUCUGAGGCAGGGCUGCCCUGGCUGAUGUUUGGAGGGUGAGUAAAUCAAGCAAGCCUCACCCCUCCCAAUACAGCCAGGACCCAGACUCUGACCCAUCCAGUCUCCGGGACCUACUUCUGAACAUAAAGAUAGAACGUGGGAUAUUCUCGUUACCUCUCUUCCUUACCUCCUGCUUCUUGACAUCAGACCACCCAACCAAAAGUUGGGAUCCGAUAGAGUCUGUGGUCCUCUCCUAUGUGUAAUAGAUUCAUAACUAUUUGGAGCUGGCCCUGGGGCAGAGCUGCCCUGGCUGAUGUUUGGAGGGUGAGUAAAAUAAACAAGCCUCACCCCUCUAUAGCACAGCAGGCAACAGACUCAAACCCAUCCAGUCUCUCAACCCUCCCUGUUAUCCACUGUUAUCCACCCUGCUAAGAGAUCUGCUAUUUGAAUCCAGGACAACGGACCAGGACCAGAGAACCUCCACAUUCUCUGUCCUCUCUCCAAACUCAGAAUGAAACAGGUUACUUCUUGCUGUAACUGGCUCUGGGAAAGAGCUGCCCUAGCUGAUGUUUGGAGGGUGAGUAAAUCAAGAAAGCCUCACCCUUCCAGAUCCAGCCAGGAUCCAGACUCUGACCCAUCCAGGCUCUCAUCUCUCUCACUCACAACCUCACUAAGUUCUAAAACUUGCCUUUUCUACACUGUCCACCCCUGCUUCUUUCCAUUGCUUUAUCUUUAUGGUUUUCAUUAUAGCCUUUGUUUUGACAUCACCUUUUCCAAAAAUGCCCAUCCCUAUCAUUUCCAAAAUAAGCCUUUGAGUAGUACAAAGAAUUAGAAAAAAAUGGAGUUGAAAAGCAAUUCAGCUAAAUGACCAACUAAUUCAUUAUGUUAACCUUCAUGUGCAAUAUUAUAUACUCAUAUUUCCCCAAUAGCUCCAUAGAAAGGAGAGAGAGAACUUUUCUCAACUUGUCUAGAAGAACAAGAUUCUUUAGUGUUACAAUAUCAAUGUACUCACUGUCACUUUGUGAGGAUUUCCACUGACAUUGUGGGAGUCACCGGAAGAUUGAUUUUCUAGUUCUCCUUCCUUCCCUCUGCAACCAGAUAGGUUGAGCAAUUGCCCAAGGUCACCUAAGUAAAUGUGUUAAACAUGUCUUCAUAAUCUCUAAUAGGAUCUGGGCACGUACUAGCUAUUUGCUAAAUGAUACCAGUACCUCUUAAGAGUCUUCCCAUUCCUCCUCCCUAAAUCCUUCCUAUUCCUCCUGGAAUCUGUUGCCACUAUCACGCAAAUGACUCCUCCAAUCAAUGUCCAACUCUCAGCUGGUUCUUGACAACCUGCCACUGUACCCAAAAGAGAGCCCACCAGAGUCCUUGGGCCCCCUAGGUGCAGCUAAUUGAUUGACCAUGGAAGCUGACCUGGGAAAGAGAUGCCCAAAUUGUAGUUUAGAGGGUGAGUAAAUCAAUGACAAACUUUACCCCUCCAAAUCCAGCCAGGUCCCAUACUCUGACCCAUUCAGUCCCUGGACUACUCCAGACAAUCAGGAUAUGACCAGGGUCUUCCCAUUUGCCAUGAUGCCUCCCUAGCUUCUUGACAUCAGGGCACUGAACCUAAAAGAAAGAGAGUCUCUCCAAAGUCCAUGCCCCCUCCUCUCCCUUGUGGAGAUCACUGUUGUCCUUCAUACUCAAAGAGGACCAAAAUGACAUCACUAUAUCAGGGUCAAUGUACUGUGAGUCCGAUUGUGGCUGACCAGACCCAUAUUUGCUCAGAAGGCUCUAUCACAGAUCAGGCGCAAAUAGUCUGUGUGAACAUUUGAGAUAGAGCGAUCGCCAAAUUUGUACAGCUCCAGUUUCUGAGCUGCUGUAAUUCUGCUUUGCUCCUAGAACACAGCACCUUCUUUGGCAUGGAUAGGCAUGCUUGACGGUCCUGUGCCAGGAUCUCCCAUGUCUCCCAGUCAAUACCAAAAUUAUUCAGAGAGACUUUCAGAGUGUCCUUGUAUUAUUUCUUCUGAACUCUCUAUGAGCAUCUGCCUUGUGUGAGCUCUCUGUAAAAUAGUCUUUUAGGCAAACCUGCUUUUGGCAUUCAAGCAUCACAGCUAGCCCAUUGAAGUUGUGCUCACUGCAACAGUCUGAAUGCUUGGCAGUUCAGCUUGAGUAAGUCCUAAAUUAAUUUAGCUCCUGGCCAAAGCUGCCCUGCCUGAGACUGUAGAGUAAUUCAUUUAAUUACACAUUACUCCUCUACAGCUAAGUAGAACCCAGACUCUGACCCGUAUUGUAAUUAGGCCCUAUUUCUGACCAUCAGACCAGAGUCUAGGACUUUCUAUUUACUUCUAUAAUGAGCUCUCUAGACACACAAGUAGAGGCCUUCUGGAAUCCACAGCAACCUCCCUUUCCCUUCUUUCUGAGCUAUGUAUUAACUCACCAUUGGAGAUGGUCUAAGAGAAGAGCUGACCUGGCUGAUAUUUGGAGGGAGGAAGCCUUUCAUCUCUAGAAAAAAACACUGCUCAGACAUACUCAAUUUGCCUUUAAUCUCUACCUUUGUCUAACAGGCCUUAGCCUUGCCAUUUUUUCUGAAGGUCAUCCAUGAAUCUUUACCAUAAAGCUGUUUUUUCUGCAAAUGGGGAGAUCCUUUGUUUAUAUAUCACCAUUAAUGAAAUAUAUGACCUUCCUAGUCACCCCCUGCCCAGAGAACCAUUUCUUAUAACCAUGAAUAGGGAAAUAAAUUCAGAGAAGGCACCUCUGCACAACCAAAUGCCACAUUAAUUGAAUUUGAACCUGUAUGCAAUAUUCCACAUGCAUAGACUUACACCAUUGCAAAGCAAAGGAGAAAGCACCUUUUCUCAACUGUUUUCUAGGACCUAGAUCCUUGGUUAUUAUCAUUAUAAUUCCUUCACAUUUUCUUUUUGCUCCUUUUCAUUCACCUUUUUGGAGGAAUUGAAUACCCUGUUUUCCUUUGUUGCUGGCCAUCUCUUUUCACAACUUCCUAUCAAUCUUCCCAUACUUCUCUCUAUCCUUCCUGGGCAAAUGACUUUAUAUGAUAGUAAUCGUGGGCUUGAUUUAUGUAUCUCAAUAUGUUGAGCCAUUCCUCAAUUUAUGUCCCUAUUCAUUGCUCCUUGAUACCUGGUUAUUGGACCAAAACUGGAUACCCUCCAGAGUCCGUGUUCUCAUCUCUUGGAGAUCAUUGACUUCCCAUUGGAGCUGGCUCUGAGGCAGAGCUGCCAUGGCUGAUGUUUGGAGGGUGAGUAAGUCAAGUAAGCCUCACCCCUCCUGAUACAGCCAGGACUCAGACUCUGACCCAUCCAGUCUCCGGGACCUACUUCUGAACAUGAAGAUAGAACCUGGGAUUCUUCCUUUACCUCACUUUCUCUCUCCCUGCUUCUUGACAUCAGACCAACCAGACCAAAAGUUGGGACCCUAUAGGGUCCGUGGUCCUCUCCUAUGUGUUGUAGAUUCAUAACCAUUUGGAGCUGGCCCUGGGGCAGAGCUGCCCUGGCUGAUGUUUAGAGGGUGAGUAAAAUAAAGAAGCCUCACCCUUCUAUAACUCAGCAGGCAACAGACUCAAACCCAUCCAGUCUCUGAACCUUCCUCUGAAACCCAGGCUAGAGCCUGGGCCAUUGUUAUCCACCCUGCUAACAGACCUGCUAUUUGAAUCCAGAACAACGGACCAGGACCAGAGACCCUCAGCUUUCCCAUUCCUCUCUCUCCCCAUCCACAGUGAGAUAGGCUACUCCUCGCUGGAACUGGCUCUGGGGAAGAGCUGCCCUAGCUGAUGUUUGGAGGGUGAGUAAAUCAAGAAAGCCUCACCCUUCCAGAACCAGCCAGGACCCAGUUUCUGACCCAUCCAGGCUCUCGUCACUCUCACUACCUGGCCAGCAUUGCCCACCCCUGCUUCUUUCCAUGGCUUUAUCUUUACAAUGUCCUCAUAGCUUUUUGUUUUUUCAUCACCCUCAUUUCUAAAUAUGCCCGUCCCCAUUAUUUCCAAAACAAACCGUCCAUUAGUACCAAGAAUUAGAAAAGAAAUGGCGGUCGGCAGUUCAGCAAAACCAACCAACACAUCCACCAAUCAGCCUGCCUAUGCAGUAUUUCAUACUCAGACCAUCCACAUGUGCACUCAGGCUCUAGCCUCUACCUUUGCUCAAUAUAUUAGGAUCAGAGACUUGUCAUUUUCCUGAAGAUCUCCUUGUUGUAUAUAUAUAUAUGACAAACCUCUUCCACAAACAUGGAAAUAUUUUUAUUGCACGUCACCAUCACUGCCACAUAUAUCUUGCCUCAUCAUCCCCUACCCAGAGGACCAUCCCUUAGAACCCAGAAAUGCAGAAAAGUACUUCUAGAAUCCAAACAACAUAUUGAGUUUGAUCAUAUUGCCACGUUCCACACCGAUAUAGUCUCUCCCCUUUGCAGAGCAUGGAAGAAGGUACAUUUUUUCAGCUUUGCUUUAGGACCGAGCUUCUUGGUCAUUAUCAAGAAAAUGCCUUUAAUUUCCCUUUUUAGAGCAUUUUGCAUUCACAUUUUUGGAGUCAUCAUUAAUACUGGUUCCUGUUUUUCUGACUGUCCUUGGCAUCAAUUGAUAUUAGUCUUUCCAAGCCUCUGCCUGUCCUUUUUGAUUCUUUCUCACCUUAACUGAAUCAUGGGCUUCAUUUGCGUACCACAGCACUUAAAGCCCCAGCAGUCAAUGUGACUUUUGCUGCUUCUUGUAGACACAUUUUAUUUCCAUGGACUCCCAUUUUCACCAUGGACACAAGAAAUUACUCAUCAUAAAUGGCACUGAAGCAGAGCUGCCCUGACUGAAACUGGGACGGGGAGUUCAUCCAGGAAACCUCACCUCAAGUGAGGCCAGACUCUGACCCAGUCAAUUUCUAACAUCUCCAUUUGGGCUACAGCAUAGGGUCAACUACUGAUCCUUUUGCCUACUUUGGAACAAAUUUGCCUUACUGUUGACCUUGUUUCUUUAUAUCAUGUAAAACAAUUGUAAUAUCUUUCGUUUUAAGAUCACUUCCGUUUCCUCAUCCCCCUUCCAGAGAACUACCCUUUAAAUAAUAGAAUGAAACAAGGAAUGCAAAAAAGGCACUUACUUAAGCAUAACUAAACCACACAGAAGCUGCUUCUGAUGUUUGGGGCAGUAUUCCACACCCGAAGUCCAGGUGCUCUGUUCCCAAAAGAAGUAGGUGCAUUGUCUUAAUUCUGUUCCAGGAGAAAGAUCCUAAUACAUGCACUUCGAGUUUUGUUGCUUUCUGUUGACAUUGUGUACACUCUUUUCCUCUCUUCAUGACCAUCCCUCUCUAUCUGUUGAUGACAAUCUUCCCAUUCCUCUCUCCAUCCGUCCUGGGCUUCUUUCCUUAUAUCACAGGAACCAUAAGCUUCAUUUUGGUGUACCAGAGUAUGUUCAGGCAUUUUCCAUUUGACAUCCCUUUCAUAUACUCCUUGAUACCUGGCCACUGGAUCAGAAAUAGAGCUGCUACAGAGUUUGUGGCCAACUCACUUUUGGAGAUCAUUGACUCCCCAUUGGAGCUGGCUCUGAGGCAGAGCUGCCCUGGCUAAUGUUUGGAGGGUGAGUAAAUCCAGAAAGCCUCACCCCUCCCAAUACAGCCAGGACCCAGACUCUGACCCAUCCAGUCUCCGGGGCAUCAUUCUGACCAUCAGAAUAAAGCCUGGGAUUCUCCCUUUACUCUGAUUCCUCUUGACACCAAACCACUGGACCAAAAGUGGAGAUCCUCCAGAGGCUAUAGCCUCUCCCAUGUGUAGAGAAUUCAUAACCAUUUGGAACUGGCUCUGGGGUAGAGCAGCCUUGGCUGAUGUUUGGAGAGUGAGUAAAAUAAACAAACCUCACCUCUCUAUAGCACAGCAGGCAAUGGUCUCAAACCCAUCCAGUCUCCCAACCCUCCCUCUGACACACAGACAAGGACCAGGCUACUGUUAUCCAUCCUGCCAACAGAACUACCACUUGAAUCCAGGACAACGGACCAGGACCAGAGAACCUCCACAUUCUCUGUCCUCUCUCCCAACUCAGAAUGAAACAGGUUAUUUCUUGCUGUAACUGGCUCUGGGGAAGAGCUGCCCUAGCUGAUGUUUGGAGGGUGAGUAAAUCAAGAAAGCCUCACCCUUCCAGAUCCAGCCAGGACCCAGACUCUGACCCAUCCAGGCUCAUUGCUCUCACUUACCAACUUGCCUUUUUCUAUACUGCCACACUUGCUUCUUUCUAUUGCUUUAUUGGUACAAUUUUCAUCAGAGAUUUUGUUUUUAUGUCACCCUGCUUUCCAAAUAUAUUCCUUCCCAUCCUCAACACAGGAAGUAAUCCCUUAGUACAAAGAAUUAAAAAAGAAAUGGAAAAAAGGCAAUUCAACAAAACAGCCAACUCAUCCAACAAGUCAGCCUGCAUAUACAAUAUUUCACCCUCCUUGAUUCCUGUCAUCUACAUAUAAGGGACAGAGAUGACUUAUCAACUAGUCUCCAGGAAAAAUAUUCUCUGUUAUUGCAAUGACAUUGUACUCUCUUUCACUUUGUGGGGAUUUCCAUUGACAUUGUUAUAGUCAUUGGAUAGACUGUUUUCCUGGUUUACCUUCCUUCCCUCUGCAUCAGCUCCUAAGAGUCUUGCCACAUUUCCUCCCUGAAUCCUUCCUAUUUAUUCUUCCUGGAUGGUUACCACCAUCAUGCAAUUGAUUAUGGCGGCAUAAUUUGUUAGGCAGGCCACCAACCAAUGUCCUUGCCUACCACUUCUUUUUUUAAAAUAAAUUUUAUUUUCGUAAAGAUCUAAUCUCUCUCUCUCUCUCUCUCUCUCUCUCUCUCUCCCCACCCCACCCCUCCCCCAAAGAGGAAGCAAAAAAAAAAUAAAGUCUGUUAUAAACAUGUACAAUCAAACCAAACAAAUUCCUGCACUAGUCAUGUUCAAAAAAAUAUGUCUCAGCCUGCACUCAGAGUUCAUCUCCUUUCUAUUAGGAAGUAGGUAGCACAUUUCAUCAUAGUUUCCAAAGUCUUUUAGAGUUGAUUUACUAUACAAUAUAGUUGUUAUAGUAUAAAUUGUACCCCUGGUUCAGCUCAUUUUAACUUUGUGUCAGUUCAUACAAAUCUUCCCAGAUUUCUCUGAAACCAUCUCCUUCAUCAUUUUUUACUUGUUCAUCCAUUCCCCAUCUGAGUCCCCCUCUGUUUCCAAUUCUUUGUCACCAUAAAAAGAGCUACCACAAAUAUUUUUGUAUAAAUAGGUCCUUUCCCUCUUUGUUCUCUUUGAGGUAUAGUCCUUAUACUGGUAUCAUUGCUGCCUUUUUUCUUGACAUUUUUCUUGACCCAAAAUAGAGCCACUCUAGUGGCCUUGGCACCCCUCUCCUAGAUGGAGGUAACUGAUUAAUUAUAGGGUAGAAAUAACCAUACUGAAGUUGAGGGUAAACAAAUCUAGGACAAACUUCACCCCUCCCAAUCCAACUAGGCCUCAGGCUCUGACCCAGCCAGUCCCUUGACCCUACUUCUGACCAUUAGAUUAGGACCUAAGUCUCUCCAUUUACCCUGAUGUUUCCUCAGCUUCUUGACAUCAGGCUACUGUACUUAAGAGAAAAUCCCUCCAGAGCCCAUGCUCCUCACCACUGUGGAGAUAAAUAAAUCUUGCAUUUCCUGAGGAUUGCAGGGUGAUUUAUGCAAUGAUACCUCCGUCCCUUACAACUAGAUAGACUCCAAAUGCUGAUUCAUGUGUAUAUGGUCUCUAUUUCUGAUUACUAUGCUAGAACCUAGGACUGCCCGUUUCCCCUAAAAACUACCCACUUCUGGUUAAUAACCCAUUGGACCAGAAAUAGAGGUUUAUCAGAGUUCAUAGCAACCUUGAUACCCCUCCACCUUCCCUCCCUCCUCUGAGUUGUGGAUUAAUAACACUCCACUGGAGCUGGCCCAGGGGAAAGAACUGACCUGGUUGAUAUAGGCAGGGUGAGAUAAUCAUGGAAGCCUCUCAUCUCAAGACUUACAUUCACAUACCACAUGCAUUUAGCCAUUCCCCAGUUGAAGUAUCAAUGACCUCAAUGGAGUAUAAGCCUAGUAUUGGAACCUCUGGGUGAAAGGGUAUGAGCAUUUUUAGCCACUUAAUUUUCAUAAUUACAUAUUGCAUUUGAAAGUGGUUGUGGUGAUUCAAAACUCCACCACCAAUAUGCUAGUAUGCCUACAUUUUUGAACAUUUGAUUGAUUGAACAUUGAUUGUUCUAUCAUCUUUUAUCAUCUUUGAAAAUUUUCAGGGUAUAAGUUAAAACCUCAAGUUUAUUUUGAUUUGCAUUUUUAUUAUUAGUGAUUUGGAUCAUUCCUUGAUAUGGUUGUAAAUAGUUUGUAAUUCUUUGGAUAACUUUUUUUUACAUGCUUUGGUUACUUAUUUAUUGAGGAAUAGCGUUUGGUUUUACAUAUACAUAUAUUUGUCUGUAAAUAUAUAUGUGUGUAUAUAUAUGUUAGUUGUUUCUGAAUUUUGAUUACCAAAUGCUUAUCUGAGAACCAAAGUUUAUUUUUCCAUUGAAUAUUUCUCUCCUUAUCCUAGGUAUACUUAUUUGUUUGUGCAGAAAUUUUUCAGUUUUAUAUGAUCAAGGUUACAAGUUUUAUCUUUUUUUCUGAUUGCCUCUAUCUGUUGUUUGGUUUUAAAAAAUCUAACCAGGGCUGUGAAAGAUAUGAUCUGCUUUUCUUCUUAAUUAUAUGAUAUUAUCAUGAAUAUUAAAGCCACAUAUCCAUUUAGAAUUUAUAUUGUAAUAUACUGUAAGGUGUUGGUCCAAACAUAAUUUCUGCCAUUCUGAUUUCCAGUUUUCUCACCGCUUUUUGUCAAAUAGGGAGUUAUUUCCUAAGUAAUUCAUGUUUUCAAUUUAUCAAAUACUGAGUUACAGAAUUCCACUGUUUCUGAUUCUAACUUGUUUAUUCUAUUCCAUUGAACUACUCUAUUUUUUAACCAAUCACUGAAUAAUUUUGAUGACUGUUGUUUUAUAAUAUGUUUUGUGGUUAGGAAGUAUUAUACCUCCUUCUUUCCUAUUUUCCAUUGUUUCCCUCUAUACUCAAGAUUUUUAAAAUCUCUUAUUGAAUUGUAUUAUUUUAUCAAGUUCUGUAAAGUAUCCCUUCAAAUAGUUUGAUUGGCACAGCAUGAAAUUUGUAAAUUAAUUUUGGUAAUAUUGGUGUAUCUAUUAUAUUUGCAUGUCUAGCCAUGAGCACUGUAUAUAUUUCUCCAGUCAUUUAUGCUAGUCUUUAUUUCUUCCAGUAGCACUUUGUAACUGAAUCUAUUCAAGUAUUUUAGUUGCUUUGGUAGAUUGACCCCAACUUGGUGCAUUUUGUAGUUAUUUGGAAUGAUAUUUCCCUUUCUAUAUUAUCUUUGGGAUUUUGUUGUUAUUAUAUAGAAAUUCUGCUGGCUUUGUGGAUUUAUUUUGUAGCCUGAAAUUUGGAUAAAACUAUUGUCUCAAUUGUUAUGUGCUGAUUCCUUAGGAUUUUCUAAGUAAACUGUCAUGUCAUUAGUAAAUAUGCAUAGUCUUGUCCUCUCUUUACUGAUCUUAACACUUGUAAUUUCUUUCUAUUGUAUUAAUUAAUGCUGCUGCCAGUAUAAGCAGUCAUCCUUGCCACACUGCUGUCUUUACUGGAAAAGUUUCUAGUGUAUUCCUAUUAAAUAUGAUGUUUUCUUUUGUUUUAGAUACGUGAUAUGUAAAAAGUCUCUCUAUGCCUGUACUUUUUAGGCUUUUCAGCAUAAAUAAGGGUUCUACUUUAUUAAAGGUUUUCCCCACUAGAUAAUAAUCAAUUAAGAUAAUAAUGUGGUUUGAUGCAUUUGUGUUUUUAAUGUGAUUAAUUAUAUUUAUUUUUUUCAUAAUGUUGAACCAUCCUCAUUUCCUUUGUGUAAAUCCAAUGAGUGAUUUCUUGUAUAUAUCGCUAUAUAGUCUGUUUGACAGGAUUUUAUUGAAAAUUGUUGAAAUUAUAUUCAUUAAUGAUCUAUAGUUCUCCUUCUGUACUUUGUCCUUACCUGACUUAUAUGCUCCUUGUACUGAUUAUUUAUUGUCUAUGUUCUAUAUUGUUCAUGGCCUAUUAUUAUCUAUAGUCUAUAAAGAACAUGUUUAAUAUUUCUGUAUUUUUAUAUUUAUUUCCUAUCUCUUAUGGUCUCACACACAGCCAAUUUUUGUAAAAGAUCCACAUGCUUCUGAGUGAUAUGUAUAUUCUUUGAUAUUCCAAUUUAGAAGAUGAUUUGAGACUUUUAGUUCUAAUUUCACCUGCACUUUGUUCCAUUCUACAUUCCUUCCCUCUUUAAUUUUUCUAUUAGAUUUGUCUGAAACUGAGAGGGACAUUAAAAUCAACUGUGAUUAUUGUUUUACUGUAUAUAUUUUCUUGUGAUUCAGUGUUUUUUCUCUUAAAAAUUAAUAUGCUAAGGUAUGUGAAGCAUAUAAAUCAAAUAUUAAUAUUAGUUUGUUGUUUAUGGUUUCUUUCAGCACUAUCUGGUUUUCUUGUUUAUCUCAUGCUGUGAAUUUCUAUUUUUGCUUUGUUUAAUAGCAUAAUUGCAAAUAUUGGAAAGCAGGUAUAUUUUCUCAGCUCUUUUCUAGAACCAAAAUCUUUGGUUGUUGUCAUUAUAGUGCAUUCACUUUCCCUUUUCAGUGCUUUCCAUUCACAUUUUUGAAGAAAUCAUAUAUAUUGUUUUUCUAACUUCCCUCUGCAUCCAUUCAUAUCAGUUUCUCCAGGACUCCUUCUACCUUUCCUAGGCAUUCUUUCUUCUAUCACAGGGAUCAUGGAUUUCACUUAGGUACCACGGAACCACUCCCCAAUCAAUGUGCCUCUCCCCUACUUCUCAUCGCCAGAUGCCUGGACCAAUACUAGACACUUUCCAAAGUCCAUGGUCCUCCAAAUGCCAUAUGGAAACGAUGAAUUCCCCCAUUGCAAAUGGCACUGCAGCAGGUCUCACCUGACAGAAACUAGAAAAAAGAGUUGAUCCAAAAAGCCUCACGUAUCUAGAACUAGCCAAAUGCACACGGUGGCUUUCUAGCUUUUACAUUUGGUGGGCAGCAUAGGACCAAACACCUGCCAUUUCCCCUGGCUUUUUUAUAUGAUAAUUUCAAAACACUUCCAACAUUUCUUAAUAUCACCCUCAGAGGCAAACUUAUCACUCCCAAUCUCCUACAUGGAGAAUCACAGUUUAUAUCAUAAAUUGAAAAGUGCAGAAAAGGCACUUCAGCAACACUCAUUCACACCUGAGUAAUACCUGAUCCUUUGUGCAAGAUUCUACACACAAAGUCCAGCCAGGCUGUACUGCAAAGAAGCAGGUUUAUGUUCUCAGCUCCUGUCCAAGACCAGAAGCCCUGGGCCUCAUGACUACAAUGCAUGCACUUUCACUCUUUCCAUGAAUAUUUUUAAAAUGAUCUGGUGUAUUGUUUUCCUUUCUUGCUGAUCAUCCCUCUCUGUCAUUUGAUAUUAGUCUUCCCAUGCUUCCUCACCCCGCCAUCCUUUCUAGGUAAACUACAUUAUUAUAUUGAAGAAAUCAUGGGUUUCGUUUAUGUACCAUACUAUGUUAAACAUCUCCUUAUUUGAUGUUCUAGCCUCCUACUUAUUAGCACUCAGUCAAUGGAUCAAAAUUAGAACCUAUCAGAGUGCAUCCCUUUUGGAGAUCAUUGACUUCCCAUUGGAGCUGGCUCUGAGGCAGAGCUGCCAUGGCUGAUGUUUGGAGGGUGAGUAAGUCAAGUAAGCCUCACCCCUCCUGAUACAGCCAGGACUCAGACUCUGACUCAUCCAGUCUCCGGGACCUACUUCUGAACAUGAAGAUAGAACCUGGGAUUCUUCCUUUACCUCACUUUCUCUCUCCCUGCUUCUUGACAUCAGACCAACCAGACCAAAAGUUGGGACCCUAUAGGGUCCGUGGUCCUCUCCUAUGUGUUGUAGAUUCAUAACCAUUUGGAGCUGGCCCUGGGGCAGAGCUGCCCUGGCUGAUGUUUAGAGGGUGAGUAAAAUAAAGAAGCCUCACCCUUCUAUAACUCAGCAGGCAACAGACUCAAACCCAUCCAGUCUCUGAACCUUCCUCUGAAACCCAGGCUAGAGCCUGGGCCAUUGUUAUCCACCCUGCUAACAGACCUGCUAUUUGAAUCCAGAACAACGGACCAGGACCAGAGACCCUCAGCUUUCCCAUUCCUCUCUCUCCCCAUCCACAGUGAGAUAGGCUACUCCUCGCUGGAACUGGCUCUGGGGAAGAGCUGCCCUAGCUGAUGUUUGGAGGGUGAGUAAAUCAAGAAAGCCUCACCCUUCCAGAACCAGCCAGGACCCAGUUUCUGACCCAUCCAGGCUCUCGUCACUCUCACUACCUGGCCAGCACUGCCCACCCCUGCUUCUUUCCAUGGCUUUAUCUUUACAAUGUCCUCAUAGCUUUUUGUUUUUUCAUCACCCUCAUUUCCAAAUAUGUCCGUCCAUUCCUAUCAUUUCCAAAGUAAGCCAUCCCUUAGUGCAAAGAAUUAGAAAAAGAAAUGGAGGUAGGCAGUUCAGUAAGACCUCUACCCAGCAAAAUAUCCACCAAGUUAGUCUGCAUAUGCUAGAUUUCACAAACAGACCAUCUGCCUCUAUAAUCAUAUUUAUGUAGAAGGAACAGAGGUGACUUCUCAGCUUUUCUCUACUGCAAAGAUCCUGGUCAUUACAAAAAUAAUGCAAUCAUUUAACUUUGAAGGACUUUCGCUGACAUUGUGGUUGACUGGUUUUUCCUUCCCUCUGUAUCAGUUCCUAAGAGUUUUCCCAUGUUUCUUCCCCGAAUCCUCCCUAUUCUUCCUGAGUUCCAUUGUCACCACCAUACAAUCAAUUCUAGUAGCACAAUUUGCUUCAACUCAGUAGAUAUUCCGCUCUCCUGCUUCUUGCCACCUGGUCACUGGACUGAAUAUAGAGCAUCUGCAGACUCUUUGGACCUCCUCCUGCUCUUCCUGACUGGAGUUAACUCAUUAUCAGUCAUUGCCUUGGGCAGAAUGGGCUGGAAUUGAUAGGGUGAGUAAUCUUGGAAGCUUCACCUAUGUAGAAUUACCUUUACCUAUCUAGUCUCUCACCCCUAGAAUUUCCCCGUAACUGUAACUUGGGACUUAUCACUAUUUCUCUUGACACCCUUUCCUUUUUAACCCCCUCUCAAUCCUAUCUCUACCAAUCUGUCCUUCAAAGAAAGAAUACCAAAAGAAUUGGAUAAAAAUGGUUCAGCUGCACUCAGAUUUCCCAUUCCCCUACAUCUGUCUGUAUUGGUAGAGAAACUCAAUAUAAAGAACAAACUGAAAGAUAAAUUUCAUAUUUUUCAAUUGCAUUCUCACCUCUAGCACCAUCCUGAGUUUCAGAGGCAUUGGAAUGGCUAAAUAGAAUGCUUAGAAAUAACAUAGCUAAGAUUUAUACAGUAACUGGAUAUAAGUGAGCUGAUCACCCCUAUCUCCUUUAAUAUCCUUUUCAACUCUAAUUCAGUUAACAAGCAUUUACUAGGCAGAAAAGCAUGGCCAAAUACCUCAAAACUGCUAUAGACAUCCCAUUCCAAACAGAUCUUUAACUAACAGAUGAAACAGUUAACUAUGUACAAGCACUAAUGAAAUGUUUUAAGUCUGUUUACUAUCAGGUAUCGGAAUUUCUUCCUCGAUCACCUGGCACCUCUUCCUUGCCACCACGUCCAACUGGGAGACCGAGCGCAUCAGGGAGAAAAGCAUCCUUCGAUCAUACUGGAAGAAUUCAUCCCGGAUCCUGUUGCCCAUCAACACUGCCAUCUGCCAUCAGACGCGGAACCAUACAUCGCCCUCCAAAAGAAGCUCAUCAUUCCUUGGGACCAGACAUCUCUUUUUGCCCCAUGCUGUUGCCCACAUUUGUAACGAAAGAGAAAGACCCCAGACUGGAUAUACCAACCUGCCCCUAUUCCUCCCAGAAGUUCCACUUGCAGACUGUGUUGCUAGCCAAAGACUUAAGCUGGAACAUAUUUCUUGGAUCCCUGGACCUAACAAUCUCACCCUGGUUUUCCCCUGCCCCUAUACACCCUCAGCCAAGAGUUGGAUUCCCAUGCCCACUGUCCUUUAGUUUAUCCCAUCCUCCAGGUACUUUAGCAUCUAAAGUUAUCUGUUGUCCUAAGGCUGCUGAUGACACCAUCCAACUGAUCCCCUUGACUCCUGUUCUAAGCACCUAAGGACUAUUUGUGACUCCAGUGUGAUUACAUGAAUUUCAGGUUACUAAAAAUAUGUGGAAAGUGACUCAUAUUCAAAAGCUCUAUAGUCCCAUAGAGAUUCCCCUGCUCCUCCCUGUCAUGGCUUGCAGCCAUACACAAAAUAAAAUGCUUUACUGGUGUACUUUAUAAGUGAGUUUUCUUUCCAUGUUAUUUCUUUCCUUUUCCAAAGGGUUACUUUAUAGAACUAGAUAAGAUGAAAAUUCAUUUUGAGAAACAAAAAAUCUUGAAUCUCAAAUGAAAUAAUAAAAAAGUAGAAAUAAAGAGUGCUUAGUUAUUACUAGAUGUCAAUCUUUUAUAAAAAUGUGAUCACUAAAACUAUUUGGAACUGGUUAAAAAAUAGAAAAGCAAAUAGAAAAGAAAAAAGAAAAGAAAAAAUGGAAUAUACUCUGUAGCUGUCAUGGUGAAACAAUGGCACACAUACCAGAUGAGGCACACAGAGACCUCUCUAUGGGAAUGCAUGCCAAGUCCCAGUGCCUCAAGGACCCUGUUCCUGCAGCACAGAGUUCACCAGAGUUCCUAACUAGAAAGCCAGAGGGAGGUGCAGCUGGGCUGCUCCCCACCCCCUUUCCCCAUGUCUGACUACAUCACUCACCACCUGCCCAGUAGCCCAAUGGGAGUGCUUCAUAACUCCCCUGGGCGAAGUAAAGUAGGCAGGUCACAAUGCAGUGUAGGUGCAGACAGCAGAGUCUGCAAGUUUGUCGUAAAGCUGAUUCCCAUGUGUGCAGUGAGAAAUUAGUGUGUUAUUCUCAAAUAUAUUAGCAAUAUUAAUAUCUCCAAAAUGAAUAUGCCUAAGACCCCAGUAGGAAUUAGUAAGCAGACCUCUUCAAGACAGCACCCCUUACAGGACAAGAUUGCCCCACCCCAGUCAGAAUACACUGGCCUCUUAAUUACCUUUGGCUUGAAUGAUGCAGAAACGACUUAUGUCUUUACUAUCAGACACUAUGUGUCUGACACUAUCCAGUGUCUUUACUACACAAAAUAUUUUUGGGAUUUGGGGAUGUGUCUUUUGAGUUUGUACUUGAAUAAUGUUUAAAACUAUAGUCUAGUGGUAUAGGAAUAAGUUUUAUGAACCCAAGGCUAGGCUAAUAGACUCUUCCUGGUUUUACAGCUCCCUUCUCCAUUUUCUUUCACAAGCAACCUAGGGUUGCUUUAAUUUGCAUUCUAAAUCCUUUCACCUCUUACUAGCCCAGCUUGUUUAAUUUGCAUUCAAAGGGGUGCCUGCCUGACGGAGAACAGGUAGGCUAGAAACUCUGGAAAACACAAUAGUGGCUUGUUGGAAUUAGCAAUCUCCAGAAGGAAUCAGACAUGAUAAAUCCUGAGAAUUAUGAGAAUAUGGUCAAAGCUGAUUCCAAUGAGCAAUGGUUCAGGGUCAGUGAUAGCAAGAUAUGGUUGCAAAGGCAAUUUUCUUGUUAUGGCUAUAUUUAAUAAUUUACAAGAUUGAUUUAUACUGGAUCCUUCUUUCAGAAAAUUGGCUUGGGGAUGAAAUUAUCUGGAAAGGAAUUAAAUAUCUUGACCUUUGUUGUAUGUCACAUAUCCCUUAGGCUUCCUACAGGGAAGAGGAGACUGACAGUGUGCAAAAUUUCUAAAUUGCACAGGAGUUUCUCACCCAGAAAAGAAAUCCUGUGAAUGAGAUAAGAUUCAGGAAGAUCCCUGAAUAGGUACAAAGUUACAUCUUCCAGGAAACAUUUUUACAUAGGUAUCUCACUUUUUAACCAACAACCUUAAGAAUCAACUUCCUUUCUCAUAAAUCUUGUAAACCCUUGUAAAAUCUUGUAACACCAGUAUGAAAACAUUUGUUGUCUUUUUUGUGUUGUGAAUUUCCUGAGGUCUCAUUGGUCUAUUUACAUUUAAAUAUAUACCUUGACUAUUUCCAAAUUCUGUGUGUGUGUAUUUUUUCCUUCUUUCAUUUUAUGGAGGACAGCAUCUCCCAAUCAGCCCUGUAUACAAAAUGUAUCAUAAACUGUUCUGGGUUUGUACACAGAUUAAAACUUGACUUCAACCCUUGACCAUUUGCUAAAAAGGUUAAUUUGGAGGAUACUCCCUUCAGGAAGACUGGAAUGUGAUGAGGUGAAUGUGUCAGAAUGAUGUCAUUUAACCUGAGGGUUAUAUUUUCCUAUAUAUAAGGGGUUUUUCUGUAACUAGGGAUUUUUAAUUUUUUUCUGACCACCUUUUUCUUUCUCUCUUUCUCUCAAUAAAAAUGUUGCAUUUGAAA